CUUGCUGCUAAGACAUUGUCUUUUAACUCUAAACAUUAUUUUUCUGGUGUUGGAAUUUGCUUCGCAUAACGGAUCGUUUGUAGAAAAAAGAACAACAUUCACAAUCUAUGAAGAUAAGUAUCGUAUCAUCCUCGGAUUUCAUAAGCUGACUAGCAUUUCUAUCCUGCGUGGCAUGUGUCCGGCGUUGUACCAACAGGAACCGCUCCAUCAAACUGCCGCCCACUCCCUCAAAAUUAUUCUGCAAGUCUUCCUCUCCAACAAACUCAGACGCAUCUAAUCCAUUCCAUUUGGCUUCUCACAAUCUGUCAAGGACACAAUUAAUGCUGGAGUCGCCGAAUGUGCAGAUGUCAUCACUUCUGAUUGAUCAACUGAACUAUAAGUCCACGGGACAGUGUAGACAUCUUUGAUUUCAGGAAACCGGACCUCAUCUGGGACAGAAUCUGCAAUUAAAUUAGCACUUUAAAAUCAAACCAAGAUAAAGGUUUCUUGAAAAGAUCAUAUCCAUUAGAUAAUAUAAAUGGAGAAGUUAGUGACGUACCACUGAUACAGUGAACGCAGUGCACAGUUUUCCUCAUUCUUCUUAUGAGUUACCAUUAAUGGAAGCUCACACACACUAUACCAGUCCCAUGCUUGACAAUAAAUGCCAUAGCUUCUGGUGUUGCCUUUGACGCUGCCAUUAUAAAGCCCCCCUCAUUUUCUCUUAAUUUCUUCAUCAUCAACAACAAUUACUAACUGCAGAGUAUCAUCACACAUUCGUAACAUAAAGCCUUUGAAGUAAUGAUGUAAGGCCUAAGCAUACUAGCUAGACCCAGAAAAUUAAAUAAUAAAUCAAGAGGGUGAGCCUUUCCUUGACGAAUAUCCUCAAUGGCCUCUGGGAUCGAAGCAAAUCCUCUGGCCACAAUUUAUUGUUAGCACGUGUUUGCAAUUUACAAUAUAUAUUUUGAUGAGCUACUUGUAGAGUAACCAGUUUUGUAUUCUUGCUCAUUUUCAAUUUGGUUUCGGUAUCGUGUUUUGUAAUUAUUACUUACUGCUGGUGUUUUGAAUUAACUAAUCAUUUUUUCCCUCCAACUUCCCAUAUCUUUUUGUUGGAAGCUCCAUCUGUAUAGCAUUCUAUUUUUUUUUUUUUUGCAAAGAAAAACCUCGUUUUGCAUAACUGUUCCUAUGUCUUUUUAUUAUUGAUGUAUGUUUGAAAUUUUUAAUAUCUUAAAAGAGCAUAGAGAAAGCAGGUUUAUGAGGAUUCCAUGGGAGGCUACUGAUUUUUGCUCCCCAAGAGCAUCAUGCAACUUCUAACUGAGCAUUGAAUGUUAUAAUGAGAAAGAUUGGCGGCUAUUGCACACCCAAUAUAAUGCUUUUUUAAAAAAAAAUCUUUUUUUCACAAGAUGAGGUAAUUGGCUGUUGUGUGAUUUUUAUAUGACUUGUGUGUUUUCUUUUUUUUUUUAGUUUAACGUGGGUGUCCGGCCCAGCUUGCGCACACCUCGACUAAUCCCACGGGCCUUGAAGUUAUCGAUCAUGUAAGUCUCCAGUGGCCAUCAUAUGAGCAACUCAGGACUCGAACCUGAGACCACAGAGGAAGCAAACCUCUUGCUCCUAAGCUCUUACCACUAGGCCACCACCUAUAUGGUUUACUUGUGUGUUUUAGAUGGGCUUGUGGUGGUCACCCUAGAGAGAAUGUCACUUUUAGCAUUCUUUUAUAUAAGGUAAUUGGUUAUGUUUAAAAAUCAAAAUGCCACACACCAGAAAAGUCAAUUACUUAAGAUUUGUGGAAGAUAUGAAUGAUACAAGAGAUAAGAAAAUGAUUGCUAUUAUCAACAAUUUCUCUAUUAUUAUAUAUAUAUAUAUAUAUAUAUAUAUAUAUAUAUAUAUAUAUUUGGAGAAGUAACUCAUUAGAUAAUCAAUAAAAUUUCUUUUUGUUCAUGUACCACUAGUUUACACUUAAGUCAAAAACUAAAUUUACUUUUACUACUAUUUUAAUUUUUAAAAAAUAUUUUUAUAUUGUUUAAUGCAUUUAUUUCAAGAAAUAAAUUCCUUUUAUCUUAAAAUCUAGACUUGAAAACUAGUCUUCUCAUUCUAAUAAUAUAUAUGGUAUAUCUUUGACUCGAUUGAAUUGAAAUGUAAUAAAAAUAAAUCAAGAAUACCUUUCCUAACAUAAAAACAAAAGAGUGUGUGUGUAUGUUAUGUAUUUGAAGUUUUUGUAUAUAAUAUUAUAGCCACACAAUCCAGAGAUAAGAUUUACAAUUAUUCUGUGUUUAUUAUUAUUAAUAAUUUAUGUAUAUAUAUAUAUAUAUAUAUAUAUAUGAUAGUGAGAUGACACCAUGCAAGUAGGCUCCUAAAUAAUUAUAAAUUAUGACGAGAGAAGUAUAAUUAUAAAAUUAAAAAGAUCUUACACGGAAUCACAUACGAAUGUUUGGUAACAAUGUUAAAGUAUUGCAACAAUUUUUUUAUUUUAUUUUUUUAUAAAUUGGAUAAUUAGUAAGCAAAAUGUAAUUAAAUGCAAAUAGACUAAGUGCUUAACAAUAAAAUAAAAUAAUAUUUAAAUCCAAGAAUAUUCCAAAAAAAAAUGAAAUAAAGAAAACAUCGCAAAACAUAGAAUCUGCACAAGAUAUGCAGAUAAAGUCAUGGAAAUGGCCAGAGCGUAGUAUAAAUAGGACCUCCAUGGUUGCCCAAAGGCACAUAACAAACAGCAAUAUUCUACGUAGUAGUUCAUAAAAUUAUCUACGAUGAUGAUGAAAAUAAUGGGGGCUUUGAUGUUGCUAGCAUUGCUGACUUUGGUUGGCGAAUGGUCUGGUCGUUGUUAUGGAUGUUUGGAGGAAGAGAGAAUUGGUCUCUUGGAGAUCCAGUCUUUGAUCGACCCAAAUCACCUUUCCUUGGGAGAUUGGGUGGACAACAAUAGUAAUUGUUGUGAGUGGUAUGGAAUCGAGUGUGAUAACACUACAAGGCAAGUGAUCCAACUCUCUCUUAGUGAAGCAAGGGAUUUCAGCUUGGGCGAUUGGGUUCUCAACGCAUCUUUGUUUCUGCCUUUCAAAGAAUUGCAAAGUCUUGAAUUGGUAUAUACUGGAUUGGUUGGCUGCUUGGAGAAUGAAGGUUAGUUCAAUGUUUCUGCACUUAAUUAUAAUCAUAAAAUAAAUGAAGGUUGGUUGGUGUUUAAUGUCAAUUAUCUUGCUUUGAUGAUUCUCUUCCAGGCUUCCAAGUCCUAUCAUCAAAACUGAGGGAACUUGACCUAAGUUUUAACCGAUUUAAUAAUGAUAAAAGCAUUUUGUCAUGUUUCAAUGGUAACCUUUCCACUCUCAAGUCUUUGGAUCUAUCAGACAAUGGGUUGACAGCUGGAUCAGGUAGCUUCUUUGGUAACCUUUUAAUUAUUUAGCUUUUAUGGUAACCUUCUAUGUUUCAACGGUAACCUUUCCACUCUCAUAUCAUUUAUAUGCUUUUGAGGAACAUCAUGCAGGUUUCAAAGUCUUGUCAUCAAGGUUGAAAAAGCUGGAGAACCUUCAUCUAAGUUGGAAUCAAUGCAACGAUAGUAUUUUUUCAUCUCUAACUGGAUUUUCAUCUCUCAAGUCUUUAGGUCUUUCACACAAUCAGUUGACAGGAUCUGCUAGUAUCAUUAGUAAGUUACAUAUAAUUUCUACCUGACUGCUUUACGUGACAUUCUUUUACACGGUUUCUUAAUCAAGAAAAUUGAGGACUUUAUAUUUAUUUAAUAAUUAAUCAACGAUAGCAUUUCAUCAUGUUUGAUUGCGCUAGCUUUCAUCCAUGAAGAUUUAUAUCUAUAGAGCUUAAUUUUAUCUUAUCCAUAAAUUGUUUUUCUAAUAAGACAUGAAGAGAUUAAAGUGAGCUAGCUGGAUCAAUACUAGCGAGGAUGAUUAAAAAAUACAUGUAUAGAAUGGAUACCAAGUUAUCAAUUCUAAGUGGGCUUUCAUCCCUCAGGGCUUUUAAAAGAUGAGGACUUUAUAUCCAUGAUCUAUUUUAUCACAACUCGAGCUCUAGUUUCAUAAUCGGCAACGUAGUAGUAGUGUUGAAAGGACAUUCUAUCUAUGCUAAGCCCCAUAACAAACAUAUUAAAAGAAUAAAUUAUUUUAAAAUACAUAGUAUUUCAUAAUCUUUAAAAAUAUUAUAUUAUUUAAAACAAAUAAAACCAAAUGAUUGUUCAAAACUUCUAAUUAAUAAUUAACACAAAACACUCAUUAUAUUAUCAUGAAAAAUGAGGACUUUAUAUCCAUGUGAUGAUCAAUUUAAUGAUAGCAUUGUAUCAUGUUUUUUCCCCCAAUAAGAUCAAAAUUAUAUAAUUAAAUAUGUGUUCGUGAGCUCAUUAUAAUUAAAUAUAGCAUUUUAUCAUUUUUUUUAUGUAUAAUUUGAGAAUCAUAUAUCAAUUGAACAACAAUAUCUCAUCAAUUCUAAUUAUCUGUAGUUUCUAUCUAUUAUGCAUAUCAUGAUUAUGACUUACUCUUAGAAACAACUCUCUUGAAGGUUCUGAGAUCAUAUCAUCACAUUUGUGGAAACUCGAGUCAUUAGAUUUAUCACGCAAUCAGCUGACAGGAUCUAUCACUAGUAAGUUACAUUCUCUUUAUCAAGAAAAUUGAGGACUUUAUAUCUAUUUAAUAAUCAAUUUAAUUAUAGCAUUUUAUCAUGUUUGACUGAGCUUUCAUCUCUAGGAAUUUAUAUUUAUAUGCUUUCGUGUAUCAUUUUAAUAUCUAAAAGAUACUUUCAUCAUUAUUUUGACUAUUUCGAGAUAAAUUGUACAGGUUUGUGUGAAUUGAAGAAUCUGAAGCAGUUAGAUCUUGCUAGAAAUAAUUUUGGAGGUUCACUCCCAAAUUGUUUGGGGAACUUGUCUUCUCUACAACUAUUAGAUAUUUCUAAAAACCAGUUUACUGGAAAUAUUGCCUUUAGUCCUCUUACUAACCUCAUAUCCCUUAAAUUUCUCUCACUAUCAAAUAACCUCUUUGAAGUUCCCACUUCGAUGAAGCCUUUUAUGAACCACUCAAGCCUCAAGUUCUUCUCCAAUGAGAACAAUAAACUAGUAACAGAACCUGCUGUCUUUGAUAAUUUGAUUCCAAAGUUCCAACUAGUCUUUUUUAGCUUGUCAAAAACAACGGAAGCACUCCAUGUAGAAAUUCCUGACUUCCUCUAUUACCAAUACGACUUAAGAAUCCUUCAUCUCUCCCACAACAACAUCACCGGAAUGUUUCCAUCGUGGUUGCUUAAGAACAAUACACGAUUGGAGCAACUAUAUCUGAGCAACAACUCCUUUGUUGGUGCUUUGCAGUUGCAAGAUCAUCCUUAUCCGAAUAUGACCGCCUUAGAUAUAUCCAACAACAACAUGAACGGUCAUAUUCCAAAAGAUAUUUGUUUAAUCUUUCCAAAUCUAGGGACCUUAAGGAUGGCUAAGAAUGGAUUCACAGGGUGUAUUCCUUCAUGUUUAGGAAAUAUGAGCUCUUUGGAAAUUUUAGAUUUAUCCAACAAUCAAUUGUCCACAAUAAAACUAGAACAACUAAAAACAAUAUUGUUUCUCAAGCUGUCAAACAACAAUUUAGGUGGGCAAUUACCGACCUCAGUGUUCAAUUCUUCUAGCCUGGCUUAUCUCUACCUAAGUGGUAACAACUUUUGGGGUCGGAUAUCAGAUUUUUCAUUAUAUGGGUGGAAAAUUUGGAAGGUAUUGGAUUUGAGUAACAAUCAAUUUUCAGGCAUGCUUCCAAGGUGGUUCAUCAAUUCUACACGCCUUACAGCAAUUGAUUUGUCCAAAAACCAUUUUAAGGGUUCGAUCGACUUUUGUAAGCUGGACCAGCUUGAUUAUUUGGACCUUUCUGAGAACAACUUGUCUGGAAAUAUACCAUCUUGUUUUAGUCCACCAAAAAUAACCCAUGUGCAUCUAUCCAAAAAUAGAUUGAGUGGUCCAUUAACAUAUGGAUUUUAUAACAACUCUUCUCUGGUUACGAUGGAUCUUCGAGAUAACAGCUUCACCGGCUCCAUUCCAAAUUGGAUUGGCAAUCUUUCAUCAUUGAGUGUUCUUCUUCUGAGGGAUAAUCACUUUGAUGGUGAGCUCCCUGUUCAGUUAUGCUUGUUAGAAGAAUUAAGCAUUUUGGAUGUUUCACAAAACCAGCUCUCUGGUCCACUACCCUCUUGUUUGGGCAAUCUUACUUUCAAGGAAAGUUCCCGGAAAGCAUUAGUGGUUCUCGGAUUUCUUUUAGUAUCCAUAGAAAAAGCUUAUUAUGAAAUAAUGGGUCCACCACUAGUGGAUAGUAUGUACACAUUGGCAAACAGUUUGUGGGCUAACUUUACAGAAGAAGCGAUAGAAUUUACAACUAAAAAUAUGUAUUAUGGUUACAAGGGGAAAGUUCUCAGCUACAUGUCUGGUAUUGAUCUCUCCAAUAACAACUUCAUAGGAGCGAUUCCACCUGAAUUUGGGAACUUAAGUGAGAUACGAUCAUUAAACUUAUCACACAACAAUCUCACUGGAUCUAUCCCUGCAACAUUCUCAAACCUAAAGCAGAUUGAGAGUUUGGAUAUUUCUUACAACAACUUGAAUGGUGUUAUCCCUCCACAACUUAUUGAAAUUACCACACUGGAAGUUUUUAGUGUGGCGCACAAUAACUUGUCAGGUAAGACACCCGAGAGAAAAUAUCAGUUUGGGACCUUUGAUGAAAGCUGUUACGAAGGAAAUCCUUUCUUGUGUGGACCUCCAUUGCAAAACAAUUGUAGCGAGGAAGUAGUGCCAUCGCAGCUAGUGCCUAAUGAUGAACAAGGAGAUGAUGGUUUCAUAGACAUGGAGUUUUCUACAUCAGUUUCGGUGAUUUACACAGUUGUGGUGAUGACGAUUGCAGCAGUUCUCUACAUCAAUCCAUAUUGGCGACGUAGGUGGUUGUACUUCAUCGAAGACUGCAUAGAUACUUGCUACUAUUUUGUGGUGGCUAGUUUUCGCAAGUUCUCCAACUUCAGAAGGUGAAUUUGUUAUUGGGGAGACGGUCGUUCCUAGUUUGUGAUGAUUGUUUGUCUAGCUAUUGGGUGCUUAAUCUGUAGUGUACUGUCUCUAAGCUCAGUCUUUUUAUUUGAUUAGUUAUUUGGGCUAAAUAUAUAAGCUGGACUUGGGUGUGAUUACUCUUUCAACUCUCAAGACUUGUCUGAAAAUAAAUUGCCAAAACCACUACUAAGUAGAAACAAAUUAUUCUAUGCAUGUGUGACAGCACUUACAUCUGCCUCUGUUUCAAGGGCGACAACAGUUAUUCAUUCAAAGCAUUGAAAUCGUAGCAAGAAGAUCCACCUUCUUCAACAGCCUUCAUCAUUCUCUCUUCCCCCCGAUAAAAUCUCUCGUCCCGUGUUUACCCAUGUUUGAUUUUAUCUUUUUUUUAAAUCUCUCCUCCCGUGUUUACCCAUGUUUGAUUUUAUCUAUAUAUUAUAUAUUCAUAAAAAGCUUAAAGUAGAUAAACAUCAAACAUUGAUUAAACAUCUAACAAUGCAAAGCUGAAGUUUGAUUGCGCAAACAUAAAUGGUAGUCAUUAGAAGGUUAUGUUUGAUGUCCCAGACGGUAAAAAGAUGAUUCAACAUGACAGCCUCAAACCCAUGUUUACCCAUGUUUUAAGAAGAUCGUAAGACAGUAAUCUAGUCAAAUAUUUUGGCUUGGAUUUGUAGUAAAUCCUCUGAAAUUUUUGCUACAAUAUCCUCAUCAUUCUCUCUGUCGCACCCCUAAAAAAAAAUAAUUUUCAAUUGCGGGUUCGACUGGCGAAAUUUUUUAUUUUUUUUAUUUGAUUUGGUUCUUUGGAGUCGCCACCUAGUAUUUUGGUCACUAGGAACCCUAACUGGUCUCAGAGAUCGGGUACGGAGACUGGUUGCGUAAAGGGAAGGUAUUAGCACCCCAAAUACGCCUUACCUAAGGUAAGCUGCAUUGUUUUAUUGUCUGAUAAAAAUAAUAAUAAAAAAAAUAAGGUGUUAUUGUGUUUUCCUAGUUGUUGGUCUGUCUAUGGUUCAAGAAAAAUCCUCCUCGGUAAGGAGAUCUUUAUCUUAUCGGGUAAAAAAAAUCCUAACCGUUCUAACGUCCAUACCAAAAUUUUAUUAAUAAUAUUUAGGAAUACGUUUUACGUAUAAAUUUGUAAUCCCAAAUAUUAAAAGAAAACAAAAAGAUUUUUUUAGAAUUUUUGAAAUAUUGGCCUAGUUCUCAUGGCUUGAAUAAACUGGUUAUUAAAGCCAAAAUGCAUGUUAAUACAUAUAUUGUUUUGAAAAUUUUCUUUGUUGUGUGAAAAUAUGAUGUUAUAAUAUUUAUGUAUAUAUAUUGGAGAGACUAGGCCAUAUUUUAAAACAAAAACAAUUUUUAGAAAAUAUUAUUUUUUUUAUGCUUUGACGAAAAUCGGGUAUUUUAAUACUGAGCUUGUAUCCUUACGGUAUAAAAAUACAACCCAAUAUUAAUCCGCUUUUAAAAAAAUAUGCAGAAAAAUCAAUAACAUUUUUAGGGAAUUUUUAGAAAUUUUUUGAAAGCAAAAACAUUUUUUAUUCUGAAAAUCUUUGAUUUUGACGAAAACCGGGUAUUUAUAACACUGGUUUUAUAUCUUUACGGUAUAAAAAUACCAACCAAAAUUAAACCAUUUUGAUAAAAAUAUGCAGAAAAAUCAACAACAUUUUUAGGGACUUUUUAGAAUUUUUUUGAAAGCAAAAACAUUUUUUAUUCUGAAAAUCUUUGAUGUUUUGACGAAAACCGGGUAUUUAUAACACUGGUUUUGUAUCUUUCAGUAUAAAAAUACAAACCAAAAUUAAAACAUUUUUGACAAAAAUAUGCAGAAAAAUCAACAAUAUUUUUUUAAGAUUUUUUCAAAAAUAUUUUUUUUUAUUAUUAUAUUUAUAUAUAUACAUAUAUACACACAUAUAAUAUAAUAAUAUAAUAUAUAAUAUAAAAAUAAUUCGGGCUGGGCCGGCCCAAAUAUCUGGGCCGGACUUGGCCCAGAGAGCUGGUAUGGGCCAGACCUGGUCUGGCCCGUCAGAUACAAGGCCGGGCCAGACAGUCUGGCCCAAAAAAAUGAUGCUGGGCCAGGAUCCACCUGGCCCAGCUACAUCAACAAGGGGGGAAUUAAUUCCCCCUCCUCCCUGCAUGCAGAAUGUUCAUUCUGCAUGCAGGGAAAAAAAUAAAAAACUAACGACAGGGGGGAGAAGAGGUGACCUGGCGUGGAGGAGGCGGUGCUGCGGUGGCGUGGCUUCCCGGGCGGCGCUGCGGCUCCUUCUCUCUUCGGUGUUCGGUUCUCUCUCUCUCUUCGGCCUCCUCUCUCUCUCUCCUCUUCGGUUUUUUUUCUUCUCUCUUUCUUCGGUUUUCUUCUUAUUUAUAGGGGCAGAACCGUGGGGGACCAUCAUUAGUGCGGUGCAACGGCUGGUCGGCCAAUGCUAAAGGUGGUGGGGGCGAGGAGAGAGAGAGGCGCGGGAAGAAUUUUCGAAUUUUUUGUCUUCUGUUCUGUUAAAACGGGGGGAAGGAGGAAGAUGAACAGUGUCGUUCAAAAACACCGUUCUGAUUUUCCUUUUUUUUUUUUUUUUUUUAUGAAACGGCGUCGUUUUGGGUAAAACGCGCCGUUUCAUUUAAAUGGUUAAACUUCAAAUCAGUCCCCAAAUUCGGUCCCGCCCCUCUUGUUGGCCGCCUUUUUCACUUUGGUCCUUGGCCUCUGAUUUAUGCAAUUGAGCCCCUAAUUGAUCAAUAAACUUCCAAUUUCUUCAAUUAAACCCCUGAAACAAAUCCAAACAGCCCCCUCUAUCUUUGCGCCUUCUCCAAAUUGGUCCCUGGUUUCGGAUUUUCACAAUUAAGUCCCUAAUUGGCCCUUAAACUUCAAUAUUUAUGCAAUUGAGCCCCUGAUUUGACCCAAUAAAUUCCUAAAAAAUAUAUUUUGGCCCCAGAACUUAAAUUUCUCCAAAUUAAAGCCCAAAUUGACUUAAAAUCAAUUUUUCUUGCAAUCAAAUCUUCUAUAAAUUCAAAUAAAAAUCCAAUUAAUCCAUAAAAAUCCAAUUAAGUCCAUAAAAAUCCAAUUAAGUCCAUAAACAUCCAAAUUUAGGCUUUUCUCCUCAAAAUUCAAAUUUUCCUUCUCAAUAGGGCUUUCAUCCUUCAAGAAUAUACUUUCAAAAAUUUAAUCCUUGUAUUUUUGAAUUUCUUGACCAAUUUUCUGACUGUUUCCUGAGCGCUUCUGCCUUCUGUUAUUUUUUCUAAACUCUUUUGGCUAUUUAUUUUAUUUUUCAUGGGGACCCAAAAAUGGGUUACAACACUCUCUUCCCCCUCUUUAUAAUACUUACGGAGCAUGGGUUUUGCGCAGUAAGUGUUAUAAAGAUAAACCCAAAACGGAACUCCCGAAACUGAUAUGGUCGAAGCUUGAUUUAUCUGAAACUUUGUCCUUUACAACAAUCCUCCUUAGCCCAAAAACUAUGAUCAAAACUUAGCCAUCUCGAGAUCCUUAUCCAGCAAUCCUCUGAAUUCUUACUUUAGUUUGAUCAAUAUGGAAAUCCAUCCGAGAUCCCAUCUGGUGAUCUCCUUUAACCUGGAAUCCCAUCUGGUGAUUCCUUUACCCAAUACAAAAAAAAUGUGUGUGUGGUCUCAUUUUGAUGGGUGACCUGCCCCGAAAAAAUAUGGUCUCAUUGUGAUGGGUGACCUACCCAAGAAAAAAAAGGAAUGGUCUCAUUGUAUGGGUGACCUACCCAGAAAAAUAAUGGUCUCAUUGUAUGGGUGACCUACCCAGAAAAAUGAUGGUCUCAUUGUAUGGGUGACCUACCCCAGAAAAAAUGAUGGUCUCAUUGUAUGGGUGACCUACCCAGGAAAAAAUGAUGGUCUCAUUGUAUGGGUGACCUACCCAGGAAAAAUGAUGGUCUCAUUGUAUGGGUGACCUACCCAGGAAAAAUGAUGGAGAAUGGUCUCAUUGUAUGGGUGACCUACCCAGAAAAAUAAUGGUCUCAUUGUACGGGUGACCUACCCAAAAAUGAUGGUCUCAUUGUAUGGGUGACUAACCCAAGGGGAAUAAUUCUUAGUAAACUCCAUGCUUUUCUAAGAAAUGGUUUCAAUAUAAGGUCCCUUCUGGCGACCUUCCUUGAUGAAUGUCGAAGUACGAGAUCCCUUCUGGCGAUCUCAAAUAACUUGGAAUCCCAUCUGGCGAUUCCUUUUAUUCAAAGCUGAAAUAUUAGGUCCCUUCUGGCGACCCUUAUCGAAAUAUGAGAUCCCUUCUGGCGAUCUCCUUUAGCCAAACAACUUGGAAUCCCAUCUGGCGAUUCCUUUUAUACCAAAGCUGAAAUUUGAGGUCCCUUCUGGCGACCUUCAUUGGUGAAUAAAACGAGACCCCUUCUGGCGAUCUCAAACUACUUGGAAUCCCAUCUUGUGAUUCCUUUUAUUCAAAACUGAAAUAUGAGGUCCCUUCUGGCGACCUCCAUCGAAAUACGAGAUCCCUUCUGGCGAUCUCAACAACUUGGAAUCACAUCUGGCGAUUCCUUUUUACCGAAUGCUAUCGAUGUCGUUCUUCCUGCUGGCAGGGUUUGAAAACCAUUAUCUUCUCUUCUUGUUGUUCUAGAAUCAACUCAAUGAUUUUCUUCGUCCAUAAUCUUGUUGGAAUGCGCUAAGAUCUCCUCCUGUAACGAUCCAAAAAAAACAUAUAUGCAAUGAUUUAUGAUUAGAUGCAAUGCAUGCAUUCGUACCUGGUUUUGAAACAUAGGCCCCAUCCUCUUCUUCUAGUUCAUGGGACUCCCUCUUAACAUGAACUUGCUUUUGAAGUCGUAUGCUGGAUUCAUCUCUCGUGUUGCCUAUCAUAUUCUUGGAGAAAAGGUCUUUGACUUUCUUCAAGUAGUCCUUUUCUCAAAAUGUAUGACUUGUAUUUGCCUCUUUGUCAUGCUUUUGUCAAAUGCUUUAGCUUGGUUUUCAAAUCGUAAAACUUUUCAUAAAACAUCUCGUCUUGCCCCCUAGUAUAGGGGUGCGAUAUUAGUCUGGGUUUUUAUAUAGAGAAGCAAUUCAUUCAGCCGGUGAUAAACUUUUUUAGUGAGUGAAUAGAUAAUGAUUUUUUUUAUUUCAAAAUGCCAUUGUUAUGGUUGAUAAACUCUAUUCUUUAAAAGACAAUUACAAAGUGACCACUUAAACAUUUAUCCAUGCUAUCAGAGAUAGGGUUGUACUUUAGCUUUUCUUAAAUUUCAUAUUAAACCAUUUUAUUGAUACUUUAUUUGUAACCACUCAAACUUGUUAAAAAAAUGCAUGAACUCAUCAUUUAUUUAAAGGUAAGCUCAAAGACAAACACAAAAAUCUGGCUGACAAUAUGAGCUCUGAAUGCUCACUAGAGAAAAUAAAAGCAAAGACAAAAGCAAAUGACAAAAACAUGCUAAGGCAAAUAAAGUUGUUUUACAUUUUGAAAACUACGAGAAGUUCUUGGGUCAACCCGUUCUGAAACUUCUUCUAGUGUGUGGAAAGUCAACCGAGGCAAUGCUUCAUCUUCCUUCCCCACUUGCAUUUCCUUGUCUUCUCCUUCGAUCUCGCCUUCUUCAUUAUUGACGACUCUUGACCAAGGUUUUCCAACCUUUAUCCCCUAUCACUUUUGUCAUGACCAGGCAAUGGAUUUAAACUGAUAUUGGGUGCAUCUUCAAAUGACACCCAUCCUAUCUUGAUGAGCUUCAACAACUUGUUCUUGAAACCGUAGCACGUUUCAAGACAAUGCCCGGGAAUACCAGCAUGGUACUCGCAAGUCAACUCGGGCUUAUACCAGAUGGGGAAUGGUGGCUGUAGUGGUAAUGUAGGGAUAGGAGCUAUUUGUCCAAUGCUUAGUAAUUUGGCAUAUAUAUCCUUUAGAGGCAUGGGUAAUGGCGGUAGUUGUUCUGAAAUGUAUCUUGUGUUUGGUCUUUGGUGGGUGUUUUGGGUGUCUGACUGGCCAUUUGCUCGAUUAGGGGAAAAAGGUUUGUUAAAGUUUAUGUGGGCCACAUGAGAGGUAGGUAUUUGUGGGUUAUAUGAAUCUGUUAUCUUGUCAUUGGACCCACCUUCGAAGUUGUUAACGGGACCUUUCAUUUUUCUUCCGAAAAAACCCUUUGUCUCCAAUGGCUCAAUUAUGCGUCCAGCUUUAAUCCCUUGCUCGAUUCUUUCCGCUAUGCGUACAACAUCAUAGAAAUGUUGAGAUGAGCUACCCAUUAAAUGCUCAUAGUAGGGUGCCUUGAAUGUAUUGGCGAACAAAGUCACCAUCUCCGUUUCUAUCAAAGGGGGUUGCACAUGCAUGGCCUCGUCCCUCCACCUUUGCGCAUAAGCCCUUACUGAUUCUUGGCUUCUUUUCCAUUGACAUAAGGCUCGUUCGAUCUGGAGCAAUUUCCAAAUUGAACUUGUAUUGCUUAAGGAAAGCCUCAACUAAAUCCUUCCAUUUCUUGAUCUUGGCAUUAUCCAACCUCAUGUACCAACUUAGCGCCGACCCCGAUAGACUAUCUUGGAAAAAGUAGAUCAGUAACUUAUCGUCAUGAAUCACCUCAGCCAUCUUAUUGCAAUAAGAUCGAAGGUGAGUGUUUGGGCAUUCCAACCCAGUGUACUUUAUAAACUCCGGUAUCCUAAAUUUUUUUGGUAUCGUGAUGUUUGGUACCAAGCAUAUUUCAGAUGCUCGCAUGGGGUCAAACCAGUCAUUUCCCUCGACUGCUCUUAACCUUUCUUCCAAGGCUGAUAUCUUGUCAUCGUUCAUAAAUCCGGUGGACCUAUUAUCGGGAGGCCCUUCACAGUGAUGUGAGCUUGAGGGGGCUGAAUGGGAAUGGUAGGUGCAAAGUGCUGCCCCGUCACUGAAUCUGCCCCCAAGUUCUGAGAUAUCCCCGGACAUGAACUGACGGUGCUCCUAUAGGUGGUUGGGUAGAUGUUCCCUCCCCAUUCUUGGCUCUUAAAAGUUGCUCAAGCAGAUUGGUCAGUCGAGAAACUUCAUUUUUCACAGAUUCCAACUCGGUCUGGUAGUGCGACUCUAAUUGAGCUCUUUCUUCGUUUUCCAUUCUUGAUCUGGACCGGGUUUGGUGGACUCUGGAUGUAGGACCUAUGUUUCACGAUCUGUAAUGCAUAUGAUAACAAAAAUGCGUGAUGAAAAUGUGAUGCACAAGUGAUGUGCGAUGAGUAUCCAUUAUUAAUCUUGAUGCAAAUAAGAUACAUAACCUAAGGACAAGCUCUAUUUAUUAAGUGAGAGUGGGUAGUUUUUCUAUCUAGUCUUGAAGGUUCUCAUAUCUGCCCAGUGACGUUCUUCGUAAAGAAGUAUGGGGGCGUUGCAAGGAACAGUUAAGACACGUAUGUCCACCAUUACCAAGCAGGCACUCAGAUAUGAGUUGGGUGUUUCACGCAUUUAAACCCUGACCAAUAGUCUUAGGGUAAAUCGCUAAUUCCCCACUUAACUUAAGGCUUGUGUGUGCUUUUCAAAAUUAAGGCAAGUGAUGCAUGAGACAAUUUUAUACAAUGCAUAAAUAAUACGCGUAAAAUAAAAAACCAAUAUGUAAAUAAAAGGAAAGGCAUAUUAACAAUAAACACAUGAAAACACAAACAAAUCAGACAAAAACAAAGCUUAGUCUACAAGGUCCCCAGUGGAGUCGCCAUUCUGUCGCACCCCUAAAAAAAAAAAAUUUUCAAUUGCGGGUUCGACUGGCGAAAUUUUUUAUUUUUUUUAUUUGAUUUGGUUCUUUGGAGUCGCCACCUAGUAUUUUGGUCACUAGGAACCCUAACUGGUCUCAGAGAUCGGGUACGGAGACUGGUUGCGUAAAGGGAAGGUAUUAGCACCCCAAAUACGCCUUACCUAAGGUAAGCUGCAUUGUUUUAUUGUCUGAUAAAAAUAAUAAAAAAAAACUAAGGUGUUAUUGUGUUUUCCUAGUUGUUGGUCUGUCUAUGGUUCAAGAAAAAUCCUCCUCGGUAAGGAGAUCUUUAUCUUAUCGGGUAAAAAAAAUCCUAACCGUUCUAACGUCCAUACCAAAAUUUUAUUAAUAAUAUUUAGGAAUACGUUUUACGUAUAAAUUCGUAAUCCCAAAUAUUAAAAGAAAACAAAAAGAUUUUUUUAGAAUUUUUGAAAUAUUGGCCUAGUUCUCAUGGCUUGAAUAAACUGGUUAUUAAAGCCAAAAUGCAUGUUAAUACAUAUAUUGUUUUGAAAAUUUUCUUUGUUGUGUGAAAAUAUGAUGUUAUAAUAUUUAUGUAUAUAUAUUGGAGAGACUAGGCCGUAUUUUAAAACAAAAACAAUUUUUAGAAAAUAUUAUUUUUUUUAUGCUUUGACGAAAAUCGGGUAUUUUAAUACUGAGCUUGUAUCCUUACGGUAUAAAAAUACAACCCAAUAUUAAUCCGCUUUUAAAAAAAUAUGCAGAAAAAUCAAUAACAUUUUUAGGGAAUUUUUAGAAAUUUUUUUGAAAGCAAAAACAUUUUUUAUUCUGAAAAUCUUUGAUAUUUUGACGAAAACCGGGUAUUUAUAACACUGGUUUUAUAUCUUUACGGUAUAAAAAUACCAACCAAAAUUAAACCAUUUUGAUAAAAAUAUGCAGAAAAAUCAACAACAUUUUUAGGGACUUUUUAGAAUUUUUUUGAAAGCAAAAACAUUUUUUAUUCUGAAAAUCUUUGAUGUUUUGACGAAAACCGGGUAUUUAUAACACUGGUUUUGUAUCUUUUCAGUAUAAAAAUACAAACCAAAAUUAAAACAUUUUUGACAAAAAUAUGCAGAAAAAUCAACAAUAUUUUUUUAAGAUUUUUCAAAAUAUUUAUUUUUUUUAUUAUUAUAUUUUAUAUAUAUAUACAUAUAUACACACAUAUAAUAUAAUAUAUAAUAUAUAAUAUAAAAAUAAUUCGGGCUGGGCCGGCCCAAAUAUCUGGGCCGGACUUGGCCUAGAGAGCUGGUAUGGGCCAGACCUGGUCUGGCCCGUCAGAUACAAGGCCGGGCCAGACUCAGUCUGGCCCAAAACAAAUGAUGCUGGGCCAGGAUCCACCUGGCCCAGCUACGGAUCAACAAGGGGGGAAUUAAUUCCCCCCUCCUCCCUGCAUGCAGAAUGUUCAUUCUGCAUGCAGGGAAAACAAAUACAAAAACUAACGACAGGGGGGGGAAGAGGUGACCUGGCGUGGAGGAGGCGGUGCUGCGGUGGCGUGGCUUCCCGGGCGGCGCUGCGGCUCCUUCUCUCUUCGGUGUUCGGUUCUCUCUCUCUCUUCGGCCUCCUCUCUCUCUCUCCUCCCUUCGGUUUUUUUUCUUCUCUCCCUCCCCUUGCAGCUUCGGUUUUCUUCUCUAUUUAUAGGGGCCGAACCGUGGGGGACCAUCGUUAGUGCGGUGCAACGGCUGGUCGGCCAAUGCUAAAGGUGGUGGGGGCGAGGAGAGAGAGAGGCGCGGGAAGAUUUUCGAAUUUUUUUGUCUUCUGUUCUGUUAAAACGGGGGGAAGGAGGAAGAUGAACAGUGUCGUUCAAAAUGACACCGUUCUGAUUUUCCUUGUUUUUUUUUUUUAUUAUUUUUAUGAAACGGCGUCGUUUUGGGUAAAACGCGCCGUUUCAUUUAAAUGGUUAAACUUCAAAUCAGUCCCCCAAAUUCGGUCCCCGCCCCUCUUGUUGGCCGCCUUUUUCACUUUGGUCCUUGGCCUCUGAUUUAUGCAAUUGAGCCCCUAAUUGAUCAAUAAACUUCCAAUUUCUUCAAUUAAACCCCUGAAACAAAUCCAAACAGCCCCCUCUAUCUUUGCGCCUUCUCCAAAUUGGUCCCUGGUUUCGGAUUUUCACAAUUAAGUCCCUAAUUGGCCCUUAAACUUCAAUAUUUAUGCAAUUGAGCCCCUGAUUUGACCCAAUAAAUUCCUAAAAAAUAUAUUUUGGCCCAGAACUUAAAUUUCUCCAAAUUAAAGCCCAAAUUGACUUAAAAUCAAUUUUUCUUGCAAUCAAAUCUUCUAUAAAUUCAAAUAAAAAUCCAAUUAAAUCCAUAAAAAUCCAAUUAAGUCCAUAAAAAUCCAAUUAAGUCCAUAAACAUCCAAAUUUGGGCUUUUCUCCUCAAAAUUCAAAUUUUCCUUCUCAAUAGGGCUUUCAUCCUUCAAGAAUAUACUUUCAAAAAUUUAAUCCUUGUAUUUUUGAAUUUCUUGACCAAUUUUCUGACUGUUUCCUGAGCGCUUCUGCCUUCUGUUAUUUUUUCUAAACUCUUUUGGCUAUUUAUUUUAUUUUUCAUGGGGACCCAAAAAUGGGUUACAACACUCUCUUCCCCCUGAUAAAAUCUCUCGUCCCGUGUUUACCCAUGUUUGAUUUUAUAUUUUUUUAAAAUCUCUCGUCCCGCAUCAUCGUGUUUGGCUGUGACAUAGAAACCCCAGAUAAAGAUGAAAGAGAACCAUGCUGCAAGCUUGACAUAUUGUUCUGCUGCAUUGUUGGUAUAGAGCCGUGCAAAUUCAUUGAUUGCAACUGGGGAUUCAGUUGAUUUUGUUGGGACUGCAAUUGAGGAACUGUAGAUUAGGAAUAGGCCUCCUGAAUCUGCUUGGGAAGUUGUCCCAAUUUCUCCUUGAAACUAGGUAUGAUGUUGUUUUCAGAGACCUGUAAGAAUGUUAUCAAGCGCUCCAACAUGGCCUUGAAUACCUCCAGCUUUUCAAGCUGUUCUGACGUCGGUUGUUGCGGAUGAGAGUCAAUCUGGAAAGCAAAGUUAACAUACACGAGAAUUAAAAAUUUGCGUUGAUUCUUUGUAGCAAAAUAUUAGUGAAAAAAAAUGUUUCUAUUCCAAUUCUUCCGUGUCGAUGAAUGGUCGUGGGGCGGUUGGGAGAAGAAAAAAAAUGGCUUUGGGGUGGAGUUGGGGGUUGCUGGCGGCUCCGGAUGGGUGAGGGAGAAGCUGUGCUUGCUGGCGAGAAAAAGGAAAAAAAAACCUGAUGAGGGGGGCUGCUCUCGGUGAUCGGCCGGGAAGAGGAAGAAAAAAGAAUCAGAAGAAGGGGGCGUGUCCGGCGGCUUGGUUUUGGUGAGGGGAGAAAAAUUAGGACUUAGGGUUUCUGGUUUGUGUUCCCUCUUCAAAAUUACCAAAUGACCCCCCUCAUUUUUUUUGAGUUUUCAACCUAUAUUUAUAGGUAAAAGUUUGUUCAAACCUCCAAAUUGGUCCCUCAACUUUCUUUUUUUGUAAAUUUUGAUUUUUUUUGUUUUUUUUUCUUGUAUUUUUAAAAACGAGCAAAAUCAACGUCAAUUCUAUAGAAAAUUACGAUUUUAAAAUGACGCGUGAAAAGUCGAACGCGUUCGAAAAAAAAUUGAAAAUUAAAAUUCUUUUUAAAAGACGUUGAAAAUGCUAAAAACAUUGCAAAUAUAAUAAAACAUAUAUUUUUUUUGGAUUUUUGUUGUUUUUCACUAUUUUUGGAUUUUUUUGAAAAAUUUUAAAAGGUGGGUCAAAAAUUGGUAACAACAGAUGCCCUCUUUACAAUGCUUAUGAAGCAAAACUCCUCAAUGUUUUGCAUAGUAAGCUUUGUAAAGAAUAGAAAAAGAAAAUGAUCUUAUUAUCUUGGGCGACAUGCCCCUUUUGAAGAAAAGUGGUCUAUUUUCAGGGGCGACCGGCCCAAACAAUCACACUGGUCUACUUUCACGGGCGACCUGCCCACACAUACUGAAAGUGGUCUAUUUUCAGGGGCGACCGGCCCACACACUCACAUUGGUCUACUUUCACGGGCGACCUGCCCACAUAUACUCACUCUGGUCUAUUUUCAAGGGCGACCUGCCCACACACUCACACUGGUCUAUUUUCAGGGGCGACCGACCCACACUCUCACACUGGUCUGUUUUCAGGGGCGACCUGCCCACACACUCACACUGGUCUAUUUUCACGGGCGACCUUCCCUUUUGAUUGGGUUUACCUGAGAUCCCAUCUGGCGAUCUAACAAGAACAAAAAUCGGUGUGUAGCUCGAUCAACCUGAAAUUCCAUCUAGUGAUUCUGCGUGAUUAGGCUAAACUGAGAUCCCUUCGCCGAUUCCCUUCAACCAGAACCAAAAUCCUUUCCAAUUAUGUUAAACUGAGAUCCCUUUGCCGAUCCCCUUUAACCAUAACCAAGGUCUGUGUGGUUAGACUGAACUGAGAUCCCUUUGUCGAUCCCCUUCAACCAGAACCAAAAUCCUUUCCAAUUAGGUUAAACUGAGAUCCCUUUGCCGAUCCCCUUUAACCAUAACCAAGGUCUUGUGUAGUUAGACUGAACUGAGAUCCCUUCGGCAAUCCCCUCUAACCAGAACCAAAAUCCUUUCCAAUUAGGUUAAACUGAGAUCCCUUCGUCGAUCCCCUUCAACCAUAACCAAGGAAUGUGUAGGGUUGGGCUAGACUGAGAUUCCUUUCGGCAAUCCCCUCUAACCAGAACCAAAAUCCUUUCCAAUUAGGUUAAACUGAGAUCCCUUCGUCGAUCCCCUUCAACCAUAACCAAGGAAUGUGUAGGGUUGGGCUAGACUGAGAUUCCUUUCGGCAAUCCCCUCUAACCAGAACCAAAAUCCUUUCCAAUUAGGUUAAACUGAGAUCCCUUCGUCGAUCCCCUUCAACCAUAACCAAGGAAUGUGUAGGGUUGGGCUAGACUGAGAUUCCUUUCGGCAAUCCCCUCUAACCAGAACCAAAAUCCUGUGUGUGGUUGGGCUAGACUGAGAUUCCUUUCGGCAAUCCCCUCUAACCAGAACCAAAAUCCUGUGUGGUUGGGAUAGACUGAGAUUCCUUUCGGCAAUCCCCUCUAACCAGAACCAAAAUCCUGUGUGGUUGGGAUAGACUGAGAUUCCUUUCGGCAAUCUCCUCUAACCAGAACCAAAAAUCCUUUGUGGUUGGGAUAGACUGAGAUUCCUUUCGGCCAUCCCCUCUAACCAGAACCAAAAAUCUUGUGUGGUUGGGAUAGACUGAGAUUCCUUUCGGCAAUCUCCUCUAACCAGAACCAAAAUCCUGUGUGUGGUUGGGAUAGACUGAGAUUCCUUUCGGCAAUCCCCUCUAACCAGAACCAAAAUUCCUGUGUGGUUAGGAUAGACUGAGAUUCCUUUCGGCAAUCCCCUCUAACCAGAACAAAAUCCUGUGUGGUUGGGAUAAACUGAGAUUCCUUUCGGCCAUCCCCUCUAACCAGAACCAAAAAUCUUGUGUAAUUGGGAUAGACUGAGAUUCCUUUCGGCAAUCCCCUCUAACCAGAACCAAAAUCCUGUGUGUGGUUGGGAUAGACUGAGAUUCCUUUCGGCAAUCCCCUCUAACCAGAACCAAAAUCCUGUGUGUAGCUCGGUUAACCUAAAUCCCAUCUGGCGAUUCCCUUUAACCAAAGCUAUAUGAGAUCCCAUCUGGCGACCUCAUCCAACUGGAACUAAAAGAAUGUGUAAAAAGUGGUCUCAUUAUAAUGGGUGACCUACCCAAAUGGACAGGAGGAAGAGUGGUCUCAUUCUUAUGGGUCACCUACCCAGGGGGAAAAAAUAUGAAGUGUGGUCUCAUUGUAAUGGGUGACCUACCCAGAUGGACAAAAUAUGAUGAAGUGGUCUCGUUGUGAUGGGCGACCUACCCAAAUAGAAAGAAUGUGAAGUGCGGUCUCAUUGUAAUGGGUGACCUACCCAAAAAUGGAAAAAGUAUGAAGUGUGGUCUCAUUAUAAUGGGUGACCUACUCAGAUGGAAAAAAUAUGAUGAGUGUGAAAAAUAGGACUUACCUGGCGAAGUCCUGAGGGGAUGACAGGAGAAGGGCUGGAAAACUUGGUGCUUCCUGCUAAUUCCAUAUCAUAGGUUUUGAAAACUCAAGGCUUCCCGAUUGCAAAGUUGAUCUUUUCAUUUCUUUGGGAUUUCCCUAAUGGUAGGGUUCAUCCCAUCUUCCCUUUUAUUCCAUGAUCAAAAUUGAUUCUUUAUUAUCAUCACCACAAUGCUUCUUUCUUUUUCCACUAUGUUGCUGGACCUCAUUAAGGAUUUUCCUGUAACAAUUCAAAAAUAUGUGCAAAUGUUUUUUGUUUUUUUUUUUUAGGUUAGAUGACAUGCAUGCAUCCUUACCUGAUUUGAAAUAUAGGUCCCCCCCUCUUUGAUGCUCCAUCGUAAUAGGGUGCCUUUGUUUGCAUUCCAAAGCUUUUCUUGUUCUUUCGAUGUAUUGGCUCAUUCAUGUGCUAGCCAUCCACUCAGCUGUAAAUGCAGUGCCCAUCCCGGGUUGUCUUCGACAAUUACUGCUUGCAUCGUUCAUCAAGCUUGACCCUGCCCCCAAGUGUGGUACUGCUUGAUUCAUCAUGAAGGAUUUUCUCUCCUGGCUUCUUCUGAGAAUUAUCCUCUGAUUGAUUGUGUGCAUCAUGCCAAUACCCAUCAAGAUUGUUAAUCAGUCAUGAACUUGACUCUAGUUGAAACAGUACUCUUCAAGUACAUGUUAUCAUCAGCCUUCUUGGAACUCAUCUAGUCAUCCCGACAUGCAUCUCAUAGCUUGCAGUACAAAGGCUUAUGGUUGUAUGCUCAGUGCUCUUCUCAUAGAUUCCUUUCAACUCUUCUAAUCAGAUUGUGAAAAGAAAUGUCUCAGCCUCAUCAAUGAUGCUGCUUUUUAUCCCCCAUACUCAUGCGGUGAAGCGUUCAUCUGGCUUUAGAACAAGUUGUCCCACAAUCAGUCUUCGAGGUGGGUGCCUUUCCGACAUUCAUUCAGUGCAGUUGUGUGAUAACAUCUAUCUAUAACCAUGUUUCAAAGAAUGACAAUAUGAGAUUGUCCUUUAAGUGCAGCAUGUUCCACGGUCAGUCUUGGUGGUGUGCAUCUUUUCACCAUUCAAUUACAUUCAUAUGUGUAUCUUCAUCGAUUGCUAGCCAUGUUUCAAAAGAUGAUGAUAUGAAAGUGUCCUUCAAGUACAUCCUUGUUUCUCCAUUGCCGACAAGGUUCACUGGAGCAUGGGCCAUUUUGGAAUGACAUUGCCCCCAGUAUGAUCUGAAUGUGCUCGUUCAUUGAUUAUCUGUCUUUGAACAUCAUUGUCUUCAGUUCACUGAUUCAUCAUUUAAUCAUUGCCUCAUAGUUGAUCUAAGCACUGCUUGUUUUUCCUUUUCAAGGUCUACUGUAUUGCCCCAGCUGCUCAACUUUUCAAGGAGUGUCGAGGACUUCAAUGUCAUUUCUAUCAACGAUUUUGCAUACUCAAUGUUCUUCUGUGUUUGAUAAUCUUCCUUGUUCUGGAAUCAACUCUCAUAUUUCAAAGAUCAUGUCUAUUCAAAGUCUAGUUUGUUGAAAUGAAAUCAGAGAUGUCCUUUUUGAAAAUCUUUUGAAAAUCAAGCUUUUUGAUCAAAGACCCAACACACGUUAUUCGAAAUACACAGUCCUUUGAUUGUCUGUAUUUUGAAAAGAAAUUGACCCGUUGUAAGAUUAAAAUGGUUUUUCCAUGGUUCUUUCUAUCCACUUUAAACUCUGAUUUUGGGUAUAUCUUUUGAUGGUCUGUGAUGAGGUGACAUUUUUAUGAAUUUCAAAAAGAUGCUCAGGCUUUAUCAAGAAAGGUUGUUUCUUUUCUUAGCAUUUAUUUUAUCAGCAUGCAUAAUAACCAGUAGCUUAAUUCAUGAAGUCACGACCCUUAUGGAAAAGCUCUUCAAGUUUUGAGAGCGCCAUUUAUCGAUUCAAAUUGCUUGCUUGAUUAAAAAGGGCUUUUAAAAAGCACGUAAUGCAGGCUAUGGUUCAUGGCUAUGAAAGAAAGGAAUUUCACAGGCUCAAAAGGUGUUUGAGGGUUUCAAAGACCUAGGAUCAACAUCAACUAUUCAUCAACUCUUUUCUAUUGUUGUCUUUGUAGAGGAAACGACAUAUAACCUUGUUAACCUCAAAGUUCAGACUUUUCUUAACAUAAGUCAUAAUGCAAAUCCCCCUUUCCUUGAUGAAUAACCAACCUUAAUCAUCUGAUAACAUCAGAGGCUUUAUAAUGGACACCAAAAGUCACGUUUAUAGCUUAGUCUUUUUUUUUUCUGGUAUUAACUUUUGUUGUGCCUUUCCUUGAUUGAAAUUUCUUUUGCUCUUCAUAGACUUGGUAAGCAUUCUCCUUCCUUUAUAUUUGACUUGUCUUUAAGUGAAGGCAAUUUCAACUUCCUCUUUUUUUUCUUUUUCAUAGCCUUCCGCCAAAUUUUCUUAUAUGCCUCCACUCUGUGUUUUCUUCUAGCGCUCUUUCGAUCAAUGGACUUUUAUUCUAAGCCUUUCGUUUUAUCCAUUAAUUAUAUCAAUGUCUCCAACAUAUCUCUCGUCUGCCCCCCAGUGUGGGGUGUGAUCCUAGUCAGGGUUUUUAUGAAAAGAAUAUUCUAUCCAGCUCAAAAUGGGACUACAAGGGAUAUAAUUUUUUAGAAAGUGAAGGGAUAUCAAAGAUGGCCUUUUCUCAUUUCAAGCAAGGUCAGUUAGAACCGAUAAAUUUUGACCCCAUCGAGUGUAAUGAUUUGGACUUGUAAGAAACAUGAUUCACGAGUCCAUAACUACCGAAUCCACUACAUGUCAUUAUGCAUACUGCUAAAACUUAGUUAUAUGAUGUGCGGUUCAAUUUUAUGUGUGAGCUCAAAAUUUGUUCGGUCACCUCCUGUCAUUUCAACAAGAAUCGAGUCAUUUCUGUAAUCAAAACACUUUUAAUCUUCAGGAUUGAUUAACCUUUAUCGCAUGUUGGAGUUUGAUCAAAAAAUUUGUCAGAAUAAAAUGUUAAACAUCUGUUGAUUUCAAAACAACAAAAAGACAAAAGCAAGGCAUGUUUCGUUGAAGGAUGAGAUGUGAUCCCAAAACAAAAUGCAAAAUUCCAAAACAAUAUGAUUGAUUGUUCAUCACCAUUCUUGAAUCAGCUUUUCUGGCAAUAUUUGCGUUUUGCCAAGCACUUUCGAUCAACAUGUCAUUCUGAAGAUGUUCGGGGGGCAAUAUAGCCAAUGACACCCUCCUUCACCGACUCCUACUUGUCUCUUGCUCUCCAACUUCAGGACUCGCUUCUUGAAAUGGUUGAGGACCUCAUCAUGACAUCACAUCUCUUGUCUGGAUUAAACCACCCAGAAAAUGGUGGUUGCAUGGGAUUUGUCGGAGUCAGGUAAAAGUCUGGAAUCUAGCAGAUGCUGGGAAAUAAACUCACAUGAUAACUAUUCAAUUGAAAUUCUUGCAACUAUUCCAUUGAAAUGGCCGAGGACCCCACCAUGACAUCACAUUUCUUGUCUGGAUUAUACCACCUAGAAAAUGGUGGCUGCAUGGGAUUUGUCGACGUCUAGCAAAAAUCUAGAAUCAUGCAGAUUCUGGUCGACAAACUUAAGUGGCAGAGGAAUGUCAAUCUUGGUAAAGACAUUUGAGCAAUUGAUGCUACCGUGAGACCUGGCUAGACCACAUAAUUAAGGUUUCACACUGUCAAAGUCAUCUCCUGAUUCACCUCUCAUCGUUUCUCUGGAAUCCUUGGCAGAACCUUCAAUCUUUCCCAUCUUGAUAGCUUGUUCAAUUUUUGGCAAUCCACACAGCUUCAUUUCAACCUUCCAAUGUUGUUGUUGUUGUUGUUUUAGGACUGUUGGAAACCUCUCAAUAUCUAGGUAAUCCUGGCAGUGCGCAAAAACAAAAAUGUAUGGAAUCUUAUAUUGUCAAAAUUGGAAGAGAAACUGAUGAAUCCACAACUCCUCUAUUUCCUCUUUGAUUCCUCUCGAACGGUGCAGCAAACAAGCACCAAUAGAGGAAGUUCUGCUCUGUUGAAGUUUCAGUCUUCUUCAUGUUUUUUAGUCUAGGCAUGUCUCUUCUUUCUACUUUUGCAUUUUAAAUAUUGGCACUGUUGGAGGAAAAUCAUAGAUGAUCUGAAACUACUGUAUUCCUUCUUGGAUUUCCCAUUUACAGGUCCACAAAUAGAUUCCUGCCGAGAGAUCUCUGCAAUGUUGAAGUUUGAUGUCUGCUCAAUGUUUUUCAAACCAAAUCUGGCUCUUUAACCUGCUACAGUUUCUUCGUGCUGAAACUGAUGAGAGAAAUAUUUGUAGCAUAUGCAAUUAGUAAAUCCCCUCUUGCACUCUCAACUUGCAGCAUCAUAAACAGAUUUUUAUAGAAAGAGCUCUCCCACGUUGAAGUUCGACGACUGCUCAUAUUUUCAUACUAGGCCUGACUCCUCUGCCUAGUACAAUGUUUUGCUCGUGCCACUGGUGGGAAAAAGCUUCAAAGCAUAUGAAAUUAAUACAUUCCCUUUUGCAUUUCCCAUUGGCAGAUCCACAAAUAAAUCUCUACAGGGAGAGCUUUACCACGUAGAAGUUCAGUGUCUAAUCAUGGUUUUUCAAACCAACAUCUUGUGCUGCUGAACUGGAAUUGAGCUCAUAAUUGGGGUAACUUCAAAGCAGACUAACGCACCAUGUACAGGAGGCUAGUAGUUGUUUGGUUCCAUUAGAUGAUGUGGAGGCGAUGAACACUUAACAGUGCAACUGGACAAGAACCAGAGUUGUCAUUAGUUGAUGACUGAAAGCAUUGUUGCUGUUGUUCAUGACUGAAAAGGAGAGCAACUUCAAUUGGACGUGACAAGCAGUGUUCCCACAGAAGACUGUGCAGACAUUCUCUUUCCAUUUGAUGCUCAACACUUGUUCGAGCAAUCUGAGUCUAGCUUUCACCUUUGAUGCUCUCAACCUUAAUCUGAUAAUGAGCCUCUAUCUGACUCUUUCUUCACUUCCUCAUCUUUUCAAUCACUUGCAGCACAGCUUGUGCGGGGGAACCUACCUUUCAACCCGGUACAUGCAUGAUAAAUGUAUGAAUAUGUAAUCUAUAUGACGAACUCGCCCUUCGAGGGGUGACAUAUGGUCGCAACUCUUGUAUGAUGAAACAAGAAUCUUGAUUCUUGCACAAACUCUACAAUGAAAAUUUUCUGAGCGACGGUCAUUAUGUCACCCAUAAGUCUGGAGUUCAAGAUGCUUCAAAAAGGGCUUACUCGGAUGCAAAACAAUGUCUACGGAGCAUACAUCCUAAAGACAGGUUCUAAUCUUUUUAAGUGAGACAAAAGGUAGGUUUAUUAUUUGGUCUCUAAAAAGGGACUCUCGUUGUCCCAGUGAUCGCCCUCGUGGAGGCAAUAUGGGGGCUUGUAGGCAACAAGAUGGCACGUGUCCAACUAUUACCAGUCUAAGCACUCAACAAAGAGUUGGGGUUUACACAAACUUAAACCUUGACUAAAAGUCGUAAGGUAAGCUGCUAGUCCCCCUCCUAACCUGAAGCUUGUGUGUGCUUUAAAAAAUUAACUAUGUGAUGCAUGAGAUAAUUCUACAAAAUGCAUGGACAAAACAAAAAUAAAAUAAGACAAAAAUGCAAAAACAUAAACACAUCAAAUAUACAAAGCUUAGUCCAAUAAUGUUGAAAACAAUACCGUCCCCAGUGGAGUCGCCAUUCUGUCGCACCCCAAAAAAAAUCCUGGCGCGCGGCAUCGGCUGGCGAUUAUUCGUUAUGUUUUGUUGAUUUGGUUCUUUAGAGUCGCCACUAGUAAUUCAUUGAGGGCUACUAGGAAACCUGAUGUACUGGUCUUGUCAGAGAUCGCGGGUAAGCGACUGGUUGUGGUUAGGGAAGGUAUUAGCACCCUAACGCACCCUACCUGAGGUAAGCUGCUUUGUGGACUUGAUGUGUUAAAGAAGUUUUAAAAAUUCUGUUUUUUCAUCGAAUUUUAGAAAAUACAACUUACAUGUAAGUUCAUGAUUCUUUAUCUGUGAUUAAAUCGGAAUAUUAAAUCCUUCUUUAUUCCUGCAAUUUUAUCAUAAUAAAAAAAAAAACAUUCAUAAUAAAAAUACACACCACAUUCACUUUCAAGCUUCGUGGACUUGAUGUGAUACUAAAAAUAAAAUUUUAGCCCAAUUCUAAGGCUUUGAUAAAUCAGUUAUUACUUUUCCAGACUAUAUGUAGAUACAUGUUCUACAUUUCCAUGGAAAAUUCAACAUGAUUUUUAUCUGUCCUUUAGAUAUUUGUGACUAUAAAUUAAAUUCCUUUUUUAUUCAAUAACAUACAUAAAAAAUAAACAUACAAGCCCACACAAACAUUUCUUCUUCUUUUUUUACCGUUCUCUUUCUUUUCUUUUCCUUUUUUUUUUUACAUACACAUUUACAUAAAAUACAAACUAUAUAAAAAAAAAACUCAAAAUUACACAAAUAUUACAUUAAACAAUUUUACAAUUACAAAAUAAUCCAACACUAUUCAGAACAGUGCAAAUGGACUUCUGGAGUUGCCGGAACAGUGUUCAACAGAGCUUUGAGAGCUGGAACAGUGGUGGCGCGUGGAUCUCACGCACCACUGCCACUGGCGGCGCGUGGGUCCACGCGCCGCCGCGAAAAAAAUAGAAACAGGGGGGGUCUGCAACGACCUCCUCCCCCCUUCACUUCCUUGCCGGCGGUGAGAACGGCGUCACCUGCAAAGCCAAACAAAACCCAACAUCCAGUCGAUUUUAAUUUUUCUUUACUUUUCCGAUCUGAUUAUCCCUUCCUUUUUUCGGUGUGUUCUCCUCUGCUGGUGACAGAUCCAGCUUCUGUGGCCGCUGUUGGGAUGUUCUGGCGGCGGGGAUGCUGCUGCGGUGGAGAUGUUUCCUCGGUGGUGAGCAGAUCGGGUCUGUGGGGAGGAGCUGCUGCGGUUGGUGGACGGCGUUGAUGGUCCGGAGGAGGAGGAGACACUGCUGAGAAGGGGAGGGUCUGGUACUGGUCGCUGCGUUCGGGUCGGUUGAAGGCAGUGGAGUGGGCGGUCCGUUCACGGUGGCUGAGAGGGAGGAUCAGCGCUGCUGGUUUGGCCGGUUGGAGAAGAAACAGGGGCCGGCGUGCAGGGGAGGUUGGUGUCGGCUGGGAGAAGAAAAAAAAUGGCUUUGGGGUGGAGCUGGGGGUUGCUGGCGGCUCCGGAUGGGUGAGGGAGAAGCUGUGCUUGCUGGCGAGAAAAAGGAAAAAAAAAUAUGAUGAGGGGGGCUGCUCUCGGUGAUCGGCCGGGAAGAGGAAGAAAAAAGAAUCAGAAGAAGGGGGGGUGUCCGGCGGCUUGGUUUUGGUGAGGGGAGAAAAAAUUAGGAACUUAGGGUUUCUGGUUUGUGUUCCCUCUCCUCAAAAUUACCAAAUGACCCCCCCCUCAUUUUUUUUGAGUUUUCAACCUAUAUUUAUAGGUAAAAGUUUGUUCAAACCUCCAAAUUGGUCCCUCAACUUUCUUUUUUUGUAAAUUUUGAUUUUUUCUUGUUUUUUUUCUUGUAUUUUUAAAAACGAGCAAAAUCAACGUCAAUUCUAUGAGAAAAAUUACGAUUUUAAAAUGACGCGUGAAAAGUCGAACGCGUUCGAAAAAACAAUUGAAAAUUAAAAUUCUUUUUAAAAGACGUUGAAAAUGCUAAAAACAUUGCAAAUAUAAUAAAAACAUAUAUUUUUUUGGAUUUUUGUUGUUUUUCACUAUUUUUGGAUUUUUUGAAAAAUUUAUUAAAAAGGUGGGUCAAAAAUUGGGUAACAACAAAAAUUAUUAUAGAGAGUAAUAUAAAAAUUUUAGUUCACCAUUUGUUCUUAGUAGUGCUAUCAAAAAUCAGAGAUUGAGUAAGCUUGAAAAAUAAAAUUACAGUUACUUUGCUAGCACCAAAGAGCAGGUAAUAAAUUGUUUUAUAAUAAUUUUUAGUCAAUAUUUUAAUUUGCGGCUAUCCGUACAAAAUAAAUCUGAUAGACUUAUCAAAAUUAAAAAUGGUAUUGAGAUUUCUAAAACUAUAAGUGACUAUGCGGAAAAUGAUAAAAAAAUUACUUUUUAUGGAUAUUAAAGCCAUGGAUAUUUUAUAUUAUACAUCGGGCAAAAGUGAAUUUGAUAGAAUUAUAUUAUAUAAAAAUACUUAGAGAUAUAUAGCAUGCUUUACAAGUAAUUCAUAAAGGAACUAACAAGUUAAAAAAUCUAAAAUUAAUAUGCUAAUUUAUCAUUAUGAAUUGUUCAAAAUGUUUGGUGACUUCGUAACUAAAAUUUUAAAAUGACUAAAAUAAUUAAUAGUUUAUUAGUUUGGAUGUUUUUAGUAAUGUUGAAAUUAUAGAGAAGUGAUCAUUAAGUUGAUUUUUUUAUAUGAGUAGAAAUCAGGUCAUUAUAAAUUUAAUAAACUAUUUAAAGUGUUCCAUUGGAAAGAAAAUAGGUGUUGUGAAUUUGAGUCUGUAUUUUUCUCUAUUUUCUUUUUGUUUUUUUUUGUUCGUCCCUUCCUCAAAAUUUAGGGUAUUAAAUUUCUUUGUUUCUUCGGAAGAUGCCUUACUCUUUGUUGAUUGUCUCUCUGUUUUUAGUUGCACUGUUAGGCUAUAUGUGUGUUUAUUGAGGCUUUGGCUGUCUUUUUUGCUACAGUUAUGAGGUUUCUUGGGCAUAGUGUUUUAGUUAGCUUCAGCCCUCUAUUAUCCAUUCUUUAUAGAGGUGGUGUUGUCUUUGUUUCGCACAAGGCGGCAUGUGUCUUGAAAGGAAGUUUACUUGGUUUUCUUUACAUGUGUUUCUUGCAUGCUACUUGUUUGGCAAAAGUCUUCUGAGAGAUCGACCUUUUUUCUUCGAUUGUUUUGGUUAGGCUGGGUGCUUGAUUUGUGUUAGGCUGUUAAAGUUUUUUCCCUUUCUUUAUAAGAAAAAAAUAUUUCUUUUGUGCUUGGGAACACACCUUUGUAGCUUUAGAGAUGAUAGAAAGCUUUGCUUUUAAAGGCAACAUUGUUCUUUAUGGUUUUUUCAACAUGGGUUUCCUUAACAAAAAUUAAGUUUUGCAUGUUUAUUUAUGUUGCUCAUCCAUAUAUAUUGCAACAGGUCUUUCUAGAGGUAACUUGGGUGAGGAAAAAACUUUGUGCCACGAAAAUAAGAGGCUGGAGUUUUAUUUUGCUUUAGAUUCUUCCCUUAAUUCCAACCUUGGUUUGUUUUCAAUUCUUUGGUCUUUCUUUUCAUUAGUCUAUGAUUUUUGUUGGCUUCUUGCUUUGUGUUAGGUUGUACGAGGAUUUUCCUUUUUUUAAAAAAAAAUCAUCUUGUGUUUGGGAACAAGCUUUGUACCUUUGAUGAUAGAAAGCUUUGAUUUUGAAGACAACACUUUUUCUUUAAGUUUUUUCGACUUGGGUUUCCCUGAAAAAUGUCUUCUUUUUGCUUGUUUGUUUGUGUUGGUCAUACAUAUAACAGAUCUUGUUUGUGGCUUGCACAUUGGUUGCUCAUGUUUAUUGAUGAUAGCUUUUAUUAUCUUUUUUCUUUUCUUUUGUAAUUCACAAUAAUAGAGUGGGUCUGAUUAUCUUGGUCUGGAAUUGACAUGAAAAAAAAGAGAAAGAAACUUACAUUCUCUACUUUAGAUGGCUUGAGCAUUGUUCGCUAGAACAACAGAUUGGGUUUGAUUAUCUUGGUCUGAAAUUGGCAGGAAAAAAAGAAAAGGAACUUGCAUUGUCUACUUUAGAUGGCUUGAGCAUUGUUCACUAGAACAACGGAUUAGGCCUGAUUAUCUUAGUCUGGAAUUGGCAGGAGAAAAAAACAGAAACUUGCAUUGUCUGCUUUAGAUGGCUUGAACAUUGCUUGCUAGAUGUUCAUUAAUUUCUCUUUUUGCAAUGAACUCUUGCAUAGUUGACAGAUCAUGCUACAUUAUUCACGCUAUUAUUGUUCUUUAUUGAACAACCAAGAUUAUUGGUUGGAUAAUAGCCACUGUGAUUAGAGAAACUGAAAUAAUUUAUAGUCUGCAAGUCUAUAUAUUCAUUACGGCAGUCAUGUUUUUAUCCAAACAUUGCCAAGAGUCAAGACCAAAGUUAAUCAAUAACAAAAAGAUGAAAAAAAACCCGAAGAUAAAAGUGACAAAAUUCAUAAAACUCAAACGCCAAUAAUGUAAUUAAUGCCAAAUGAUAAGAUUAAAAAAAUCAAUUAAAGAAAAAAUUGAAUCAACUAGUUAACUUAACUUAUCCACGACCUGAGAUAUGAAAUAGAAAUAAUAUACAAAAAAAAAAACCAGAACAAAUAACAAAGUUUAAGCCUAAUAACUCAAGGUUGAUGAUAAAAAAAAAUUAAUUUUCAAAAAGAACUUAAAAAAAAUACCAAACUUAAAACGAGUUGAUAUUCAAAAUUGGUAGAGUGAGUUAUGAGACAGGAUUAGUGUAUUCAUACAGUUUUGACCUGUUUUUUUAUUGUUUUUUUUUUAUUUUUUCAUUCAUGUGGAUAUGACUUUUUUGUUACUUUUUAUCGCAUAUGGUUGUUUCAUAAAAAAAAAAAAAACUCUAGGAAACAUAGUUGUUAAAACACAACGAAGCACAUGACCUAUGUAUGAUAUCAAAUAUCUUAAUCUUAGUUAUCUAUUUAUCAAAUAUUGAUCUAGUUACUAAAUACAUGUAUAGGCAUUUUGAUUUGUGAUUAAAAAAAAACUUAUAUUAAAAAGCACAUUAUAAGAGCCUGCUUAUUUUUUUACUUAAAAAAAUAAUCACCCCGCGGAGCGCCAAUAAAACUAGUUACUUAUAAUAUAAAUAUGUGGGGUGAACACUGUGUAGCCACGCACUUCACCUCCUCCUGUUUUAUAGUGGACACAAUGUUCACUGGUUUUUUAUUAGGUUUUGCUAUAAAUUUAAAGGAAAAUAUGUAAGGUGAACACUAUACAACCAUAUUGUUCAUCCCCUCAUGUUUGAUGUGCUAAGGAUAUAAACCAAGUAAUUGUUUCUUCCUUGAGACUAAGAGUCAUGCGUAGCAGAAUGAGCCUUCCUUCUCUCAUUCUGAUCAAUCAUCUUGGAGAGCCUAUGUUCUUGCCUUGAUCAAGAUCCUAUCUUAGUUAUUCAACACAAUGAAGAAAUUUUCCAAAAUCAUUUCUUGACAUAACAUCUUAGUUAUUCAACCGGUUUAGUGGGUUAAUCCAGUUGAAUUAUUUAUUUUUUAAUUGAUUUUUUUAUUAUUAUUCAAUUAGAUUGAUUAAGAAUUAUAUUUCAUAAUUUUUUUAUUUGCUUUCUAUCAAGAUUCUCCUAAUAUAUUGUUAUAUCUCAGUUAAAAUUAUGGGGCAAUUGGAGUUUAGAAAGGCCUUGCAAGACUGCUAGUGACAUUUUCAUAAUUUUGUUUUGAAAGGUUAUUUUUUGUGUUUUUUUUAGAUUUUUUUUUCAAUUUAACCAUUCAAUAAUAGGUUUAUUAAGAAUUGAGAUUUAGAAUUUGUUUUGAUUUGCUUUAUUUUGGGUUAUUAUGGUCUCAUAACCUGGAUUAUGGAUUUAGAAGUUAACUGAGUUGAUCCGGGUCGAUCCAAUAAGUUGUAUCUCAGUAUUGUUUUUGAAAAUAUCAUUUUAAACUUUUUUGAGUCAAACUCUAUUCUUACUAGUUGUUGUCUUUGGACCCAUAAGUCGAUCGGGUCAUAUUGGUUCAACUCUCACUUUUUUACUUGUGUUUGAAAUUUAAAUUGCAUAAUUUCAAGUUAGUUUAUAUUUAAAUUUGAAUUGAACUUAUGUUUAUUGAGUUUAAUCUUGAAUAUAUAUAUAUAUAUAUAGUAUAAUCUUGAAAUAGCAUGCUGAAAUGCUCUGAAACCAAAAUAUACAGUUUGAAUUAAAAAAUAAAACACUAUCCGGAACGAGAUUGAUAACCUGACGUGAUAUGUUUAAAAUGAGAAUCAUUUAGAGCAACCGUGUACAUAACAAGGGCGUCCCCUUCUCCGUCCAGAGAUUAGGCACUGAAUCUUUCGUUACAGUUAGAGUAGGCGAAGCUUGUCAAUCUUACAAAGGUGGUAGAAUUUGAGGAUUUUUAUUGUUCUUUCUCAUUUUUUGAAUGAAACUGUACUAUCUUACAUAAAAUUUAAAACAACACUGAGAUUUAUACAUAUUCCCUGUUAUUAUUACUUGCUUAAAUGGAAGGAGUAUGGAGAUUUGAAAUUACAAUGAUUGUUACAAACCAAACUUUUAAAACCGACAAUUGUUCGUUCCUUCCAUUAAGCCCACGUGAUUCAGAUGGAAUGCAAUCAAUCCAGUUUAUACCCAAAGGUGGAGCUUUUCUCUUUCAAUGGUAGUCUUCAGAGGGUGGAGGAUGAACGUGAGGUGGAAUCACCAGGUUCACAGGAUUCUAGAAUCAGAAAAGGGAAUCUUCGUUAUAUCAUAACUUACAGUUCUGCUGCAACUGCAGGAUGUAUUGUUGAAGAUGAGGUGCAGAGGAUGUUGUUUGCUGGGUAGGCUUUGGGAAUGCUGAGGACUUGACAGCUUUGACAGCAGACAUUAGAAGCCAGGUGGAUAAAUAGGAAGAUUGCAGAUCGGAAUGCAGCCCAAUAAUUCCAAUUUGCAGUAUAACUUGGUAAGGUUUAAAAUAAUUUAUCAAUGAAGAUUUUAUUCUGGAAUAGUUGUGGGUUGGGUAUGUCUACUAGGAGGGCAUCUAUUAGAAAUACAGUAACGCAUAGUGAUAUUGAAGUGUGUUUCUUGCUUGAAACCAAGAGGUAACUAGGGAUGAAAUAUUACGUGUUGAAUGCCACGUAUAAUGGGGUAAGGAAUUAUGAACCUUGAGAGGAAAAGCCUCUUGAAAUUCUUUCAAAACCACACUUAUUUCUUCAAGUACUUUCUUUAAAAUCAUUUGGGCUUAUAAGAUUAAGUCGUUUUCCUUUCAUAUAUUGGAGUCACAUCACACUCUCAUCAUGGUAAAUUGAGAAAUUAAUAGGAAAAUAUAUAUCUUUUUUUGAUUGCUAUGAAAGUGUUAUUAACCCAUGAUUUUUAUCAAUAAUGUAGUCUAUACCCAGCCUUUUUGUUUUUUUUAGAGGAAUCACCGAUGACCAAACGGUCACGGGUUUGAAUUUUACCAUUCUUAUUUAUUAGUUCUUUAAGAAUAUUAGAUUUAUCCAACAAUCAAUUGUCCACCAUAAAACUAGAACAACUAAAAACAAUAUGGUUUCUCAAGCUGUCAAACAACAAUGUGGGUGGGCAUUUACCGGUGUUCAAUUCUUCUAUAUAUCUUAGAAUAUCUCUACCUAGGUGGUAACAAUCUUUGGGUCAGAUAUCAGCUUUUCCAUUAAAUGAGUGGAAAGUGUGUACUGUAUUGGAUUUGAGCAACAAUCACUUUCCAGGCAUGCUUCCAAGGUGGAUAUAUAAGAAGAUUGCAGAUCGGAAUGCAGCCCAAUAAUUCCAUUUUGCAGUAUAACUUGGUAAGGUUUAAAAUCAUUUUGUGGGUUGGGUAUGUCUGCUAGCAGGGCAUCUACUAGGAAUACAGUAAUGCAUAAUGAUAUUGAAGUGUGUUUCUUGCUUGAAACCAAGAGGUAACUAGGGAUAAAAUAUUAAGUGUUGAAUGUCACGUAUAAUGGGGUAAGGAAUUAUGAACCUUGAGAGGAAAAACAUCUUGAAAUUCUUUCAAAACCACACUUAUUUCUUCAAGUGCUUUCUCUAAAACUUUCUUAGCCACUAAAGCAAAUACAACAAACUUUUCAUGAAUCUCAUUCUCAAAAUCAUUUGGGCUUAUAAGAUUAAGUCCUUUUCCUUUCACAUGCUUAUUUUUUCAUUAAUGUUGUUAAGCCUUGGUGGUAGUCCAACGAACUAGAUCUUUCUACUCUUAAGAGUGAAAUAGUAAGAAUUUGACAUACCAAAAAUGAUUAUGUCCAUAUUACAGAGACAUUGUAUACCUAACAUAUUCUACAUUUAUUGGAGUCACAUCACACUCUCAUCAUGGUAUAAAACUUGAGAAAUUAAUAGGGAAAAUAAAUCUCUUUAACUGCUAUGGAAGUGUUAUAUAUUAACCCAUGAUUUUUAUCAAUAAUGUAGUCUAUAUCCAUUUAACUUAUCUUUUUUUUUUUUAUUGGAGGAACCACUAAUGCCCAUUUAACAUUGCAUAGUUUUUUCCCUCCUUAGAACCAAAGAAAGAUAUGAUAUGUUUCUCAAUUUUGGUAGCAACAGUGGAUGGGAUAGGAAAUAAAGAAAGAUUAUUUAUAAUUGAGUUAAUCAAGCAAUAGUUUUCCACGGAUGUAUGAGAUGAAGAUGCAUGAAUAGGCAGACCCAAAUACUUAAAUGGCAUCCCUUCCAUCCUUCAUAUUAGAUUGCUAGCAGUUGAAGAAAUAACAACAUCAUCAAUUCUAGUUCUAGUGAUUGAACUCUUGUGGAAAUUAACCUUCAGCCUAGAAAUCAACUCAAAACAUCACAUAGUUCUUUUGAUGUUUGAAGAGAUGGAAAAUCAUAUGAACUGAAGAUGAGAGUAUCAUCUACAAACUGAAAGUGAGUAGUUUUCAGUUGAUCAUGACCAAAACAAAUACCUUUUAUGAGUCCCAAAUCACAUCUCUUUUUAGCAUUCUACUAAGACCCUCAGUCGCUAUAUUGAAAAGAGAUGUUGAUAAAGAGUCCCCUCUUCGCAAUCCCUUUUCCAUAAAGAACUCUACAAGAAUUGAAAGUUUUGUUGUCGAAAUACAUUAUUGUAUCCAUCAUCUCCAUCGUGAACCAAAACCCACACAAGCCAUAACUGUCGAAAUACCUGGUCAGUAAUUGUUGUGCGUGGUCUAGGAUCGUGUGUGAUCUCCAACUCUCUCUUGGGGGUGCUGGGGUUAAGAAGCAGAAUGAUAACAGCAGAGGAGAGUAAGAGACGAGAGAAAUGAGAUCGAAAUUAGACUGCAAUCUAUCAAUUAACUCUAACUGAUUAACAAACUUUGCUAACCGAAUGUACUCCAACUAACUAACAUAAUAUUAACAACUAAACAACAGGUUGCGUGCUCCUGACGUCUCUACUUCCCGCUCUUUUUUGCCUCCCUAAGGUAGUCUUCUUCUUGUUGCAACUUCUCUGACUAUUCUGUCAUCCAGGUACGUAACAAUACCCUUCCUCAGAAAGAUUCACCUUAAUGAUAAUGCAUAAUGCUGUUAUCUAGUUGUUCCACUUCUUGGGACAAUGCAUAAUGAUGCACCUUAAGUAAGUCUCCAGGCAUUGAUUCACUCUCUCGGUCUGGCCAUCCGUUUGAGGAUGAUAGAAGGUGCUUAGUAACAACUUUACGCCCAGAUGUCUAAACAAUUCUCUCCAGAACAGGCUUGUGAAAACUCUAUCUCUGUCAGUUAAUAUCAUGGCAGGCAAGCCAUGGAACUUAUAAAUGUGAUCCAAGAAAAACUUAGCCACCUCUUGAGCUGUGAAGGGAUGGGCUAAUGUGAUAAAAUGCCCAUACUUUGUAAAUCGAUCAACAAUGGCAUAGUGGUUGCACCCACCAUUGACAAAUAUAUUAACUCCCAUGUGCAGCUGCUGGAAAGAAAAAGAGAAGCUACCAUUUGCCUAUAAAUAGGCACUACGAAAGAGAGCAAAAUGAGAGAGAACGUGAGAGUGCAAACAAGAGGAAGAGAGAAAGAGGAGCUGCUGCCAUGGCAGCAAUGAGAGAUGGGAGUUGAGUGAAUGUGAUCCUCCUCCAUGUAUUUAUUGUAUCCUUUCUCUAAUCUCUAAAUAAUAUUAUCUCUCCCGUGGAUGUAGGCGGUUUUGUCGAACCACGUUAAAAAUUGUGUCUCAGUGUGCUUACCCCUCCUAUGAGCAAAUAUCAAUUCAUCACCGGUCGUCGGUUUCCGCCCAACAAUUGGUAUCAGAGCAUUUGGUUUAAAGUGGUGUUUGAUUUUUGCUCAAAAAUAAAAGUUGUUAAAAUUGUGUUUUGACCAUACCACCGUGUAGAGGAGGAAGAUACAAUGCCACUGUUGAAAACCAUGUCAAAAUCGGACGUCGGAAUAGCCUUCACGCGCCGACGAGGAGGCUGGCCACGCGUCACACGCGUCUUCGUUAUUUGCAUUUUGCACACUUCCCUUGUACUUGAAAAGAACCUUGGUCACUCUAAAUAAAACACUUGUCAAGAGAAUUAACAACAGAUGAGAACUUCUACAGAAUGACCAAUGAGGAAGUGUGGACACACUACACACACGUGUACUAGCAUGAAUCCACAAACUUAUGCAUGUGUAUAUUCAUGUCUAGAGAAUAUCCAAAUUAUUGAACCUAGCAUUAGCCGAAUACCGUACGGCAAUUUUCUUGAGUUCUUGUAAUCCCUCCUGACCAGAAAACGGAAGAUGCCUCUUUAAUGUCUCCAUUCUGCACAUGUAAAACAUUGCAUUUAAUUUUUAAUGACAAGGCAGGUAGAGAAGUUAGCAGUAGUGAGAAAGAACCGUGAACUCAUACACCACACCAAUAUCAGAAAUAUAUACAACAGAAUCAUUAGCAAAAAGUAAAAACAAAUAACGAUAUAGCUGAGUGUCAGUCAAGUAAUAUAUGGCAUCAAAAUACAGACAUCUAUUUUUACUUCCUUUCCCCGUAUUAUUCCAGAGGUAGGAGUUUACUUGGCCACCCUUCUGUCUAAAAUUUUAGUUACGAGCUUCAUGGUUAAUUUUCUUGAACUGGAAGAACCUUCCAUUUAUGGCUAUGGCUAUGCUCCAAGAUAUAUAAGUGCAUUAGUUGCAAACCAGAGGAACUCUGUAAAAACAUUACAAUAGCAUUUACACUGAGUAAGAAAACUUUUAUACGUGCACUGUAAUUGACAAAGAAAAGAAGAGAAAUCCUUUUAAUUUAUGAAAAUGCAAUGAGUUCACCUUAUCUCACGCGGCAAUAUAUACUCUACAGUGCUCAUUGGAUACUGCAAGUGCCAACAGUAGCUGUCUAUAUGAUUUUGGAUGUAGAGAUAUCACCAAAACAUUCAACUUUAUGCUGAGAAACUAGGAAACCAUACACUAUUGUGGCUAAUUGAUUUUUGUAUGCUGCUUUUGUACUUUAAUAUCACUAUCAUUUCAAUCCUGUAGAAGUUAAAGCAAAUAGAGCCCAAAUCCAACACUAUUCAUUUAAGUUCAGUUGCAACUCAAGGUUGACAUUGAAACACCAAUGCUCAUGGCAAUAGAUUAACCUUGAAAUUUAAAGCGGAACAAGCUUCAUGCAGCCAUCCAAGAGGUCAUCAUCAAAAGAAGAUGUUACACAAGAAGUUCCAACAAAAAUUACUUCCCAGCACUUUUUAUUCCCUCCAUUCACUUCUUGUGAGAAACAAGUGAAAAAUGAAAAAGACAAAAACAGAGGUGUAUGAUACUUGAGGUUGCCUCAUGGCAGUCCUGCUGAUUUUAAUUAACCUUUUGCCCUUCUCUUUUUCUUUCAUUUAAAUACAAGAUAUACUAUUUUGCAGCACUUGCACAUAUUAGCAAACAGAUAUUUACAUUUUGUUGACUAUUCUUUGCCGUGAGUCAGGCUGCAAUUGAGUUCUCCAAUCACCUGUGUCCAUCACAGGUUCUCCGCCUGGGGCAGUGGGCCUCCAAUUAUUGGCAUCCAUGGGGUUUUGGCCAACCAAAAAACUAGCCAGCUAGUUCAUAACUUGCCGCACCAACAGAUGGUGACUGUUGGUAAACCAAGCCAUAGAGAAACUCACGGUGCUUCAAUUUUAACUUGAUGUUUUCUAGCAACACUUGUGAUACAUCAUCGAUGCAAUGUUUACAAUGACAAACUUGCAUUUGUAUUCAUUGUGGUUUUAGGUUCACAGAUUCUGAUCAAAUAGAUAUUUAAUGUUCCAAAAAGAGAUUGUCUGGGAUGUUUUAAGCUAGGAAAAACAAGAAGAAAAGGACGAGCAUUAACCAUGAAUAUUUCAUGUUAUCAUCAACUCUAAUGAGCAGACUGAUAAGAAUCAACUUAACAACUCUUGUUGAAAUAAGAUUAAAUUUACAGGCACAUCUUUCUCGGAAUAGACAACACAAUAAUCCUGACCAUGCUCGACCUUGAGGUAAGUUAUAAAAUGUUCUUCCUAACUAGAUUUGUUGUUAAAAACACAAUAAUUUUGAAGAAUUCAGUAAAUUCCAAAAAAGAAGAAUCAACCAAACAGCUCAUUUUUCGGCCAUUCCGGCAGUAAUAUCUCUUCCACUCCAGCUGCUGCAUAAACUAAUUAACAAAUUAUCGAUCGAGCCUAAAAGAUUUGAAUUGAGUUCUAUUCUCAACUUAAAAAUAAAAUAAAUAAAAUAAAUUUGGGUUCAGAUCAGGGCUGAUUUUACAACAAAAACUGUGAGAAAAAUCGGAUAAUAUCAUGUAAAUUAAGGGGGAAUUGAAAAAUAAAUAUUAGAAUCGGUGAUGUGCGUUUCUUUGAUUGCGUUCACGAGCAGCGAUUUUCAUCGGAUCCUUUUAUAUUUUUUUAAUUUACUUAUUAAAAUCGAAUUGCGUUACUAGCAGAGACUUAUCGGAUCGAUAUUUGUUUUUUUAUUUAAUUAUUAAAAUAGAAUUUCUGUCUCUGAAUAAUAAUUACAAUAAAUAAAUGAAAACACCCAUAAAUUUUAAAAACAAAGCAUGAUAGAAAAGGAAGCACCUGGCAGAAAUCUGAAGCCUUAUUGGAUGCGGUGGUUUCCGAGAGGCGGAAGAGGGAGGGAGAGAGCUCGGGCGGGGAGAGGUGAGGAAUGGUGUCCCAAAGUGAAAUAGAUGACUUUAUUCUUUUCCAGAUUCCUUCUAAAAAAAUUAACAAGUAAACACUCAUAUUGGCCAGUAGUGCUAUAAAGAAGACAAAGUGGUAUAUCCACUUUUUCAUCAAUUACUUUAAGAUUUUUGGAAGAUAUGACACGAGACAAAGAAAAUGAUUGCUAUUAUCGACAAUUUAUCUGUUACACACCACACACACUUUGUCUUUAGCUAUAUUUUUUUACAAGGAUCUUUAGCUAUGCAUUAGAGAUGAACCUCAACUUCUUGAUUUUCACUCGUUUUCAUCCCAUUUAAAGAAGUUUAAGUUUGAAUGCUCAUUAUACAAAUUCUAAUAACAGGCAGCUAAAAGGGCUUGUCGAAGCUUUAUGUAAUGGCCACUACCCAUCACCAGAACAACCUCAGGAUCAUAUAUUCUUAGGUGCAAGAGUGCCCCACACUCUAUAAUGGGUGGCAAGCUCCUUCCUUUUCACGUGAUGAUGCCCCCCCCCCCCUUUCUUUCUUCCUUUUUUUUUUAAAAAAAAAAUUCCUUUUUAUGCUUAAAAUCCACCCACUAAUGGGUCGAUGAAGUGACCACUAACAACAACGCAGAUAAGAUGUUGCUUGUUCUUACAGGGAGAGGAAGUCCAGCUCCAGACAGCAGAAGGGAGAUCGUUUUCCUACAUCUUCAUCAUUAGAACACAGCAAUAACUCAAAGCUCUACCAUGUCACCAUCGCUUUUGAUUGCUAUCUUCAGUUGUUAUACCUACAAAUCCAAGAACAAUGAAUAACUCAAACGUUCAUUUUUUUAUUUUUUUUUGCAAAAUAGCACCUAGAACAAGAAAUAACACAAUUCAAAAUUUAUUUAAAGAAAUAAUAUAUUUUAACUAGUCACAGAUUGCGACUCUCUUAAGAUAAAUUGUCCUGGAUAAAUUGAAAAACUACUUUUAAGUUUUGAAUAAUUAAGUUAAUUAAUAGUAAUAGAGUACUGUUAUUAUUGCCAAAUAAUAGUAAUAGAAACAGAGGAGUCUGUUAAAUAUAGCCGAGAGAACACAAUUGACUGCCCACCAGUUAAUGGGGUCUGUCCUCCAACCAUAUCGGCCUUCCUCUCUCCUUCCAUAUUUGAAGUGUCAUUUCCUCCAUCUUUCCCUUCUUCAGGCACACGGUAAUUCGUCUGCUGUGUUGCUUGGGCCGCAGUGAUGAAGUGAUAGCCAUGACUUGAUGCCUCUGGAGGGCUUUGGAGAAGAGCAUGAUUCUGUACCAGCAAUCAAACAUCAAGACCUGAGAAAGUUGUGGUUCCGUUGAUGGAGCAAAUGACAUUGCAAAAGGAAGAGAUGUCUGAGAUCUUAAGAGUUGGUGUUUGUGAUUAUUCUGAUUUUGCAUCAGCUGCCGCUGCUAGUUCCGCAGGGAAUGAUUCUGCUGAUGAUUUUGCAAAUGGUUGGAUCUUGAUGACAGCUGCUGAUUCCACCUAAUUCACUCCCAUGUGGUUUAUGCUGCUGAUUCUGCAAAUGCUUCUGGGAUGACGAGGAGCCACUAGAAAUACUUGGAUUUUGAUAACCCUAUUUGCUUUGCUGUGUCUGUACGAAUGGUUGUUGCUGUCGCUGAAGCUGUGAAGGAUGAAGCAUUCAAGAAGAAUAAAAUUGAUCCAUUGAAGAAAGGCAUAGCCUGAGGAUGGGUUCCUUUGUAAGCUGUUGUGGCCCCCAUUCUGCAAAUUAGCCAGGGAAGUUUGGGUAGUUGAAGCUCAUUGCUGUAGCACCAGUUACUGCCGAUGUCGUGGCAUUUAUUGAAGCAGAACUUUAGAAGCUUUUACUGCUGCAGUAGCUAUAGAGGAGACUUGAUCUUCAGGUAGACUCUAUAAAGUGUAGGAAAUUGAAUCUAUCAGCCAGACAUCAUUCCAUAAGCUAAUAUCUCUACCAUUGCCAACCAAACCACAAACUUCUUUCUUUGCAAAAUAUUUUGAAGUCCCUCGUCCUUAUAAAAAGUAAUGACAUUCCUGGACCAUGUACUGCCCUUUAAAUUAACACAAACUAAAGGCAUGUUCAAAUAUGCUUUUUUUUUUUUUUUUUUUUUUGGUAAUCGGGGUGUCCGGGCCAGCUUGCGCGCACCACAACUAAUCCCCGGGUUCACUGAACAUCCUGCAAGCCCAAUGAGCAUGUAAGGCACCACGGGGGUGACAGACGUACACAUAGAGGGUCGAACCCGGGAUGGGGGCGGAACAAGUCACACGAUUGACCACAACAGCUGGACCCUCAAGUGUAACAUCUUUUCAUAGUCUUGUAUGAGACCUCCCAAACCUCCAUAGCCAUUUGAAAAAUUAACAAGGCUUUAUUUUUAUCAAUAAUGUAUUCUAUACCCACUUUUUUUGUUUUUUUUGGGAGGAACCACUAAUGCCCAUUUAACAUUGCAUAGUUUUUUCCCUCCUUCCUCCUGAGAACCAAAGAAAGAUAUGAUAUGUUUCUCAAUUUUGGUAGCAACAGUGGAUGGGAUAGGAAAUAAAGAAAGAUUAUUUAUAAUUGAGUUAAUCAAGCAAUAGUUUUCCAAACGGAUGUAUGAGAUGAAGAUGCAUGAAUAGGCAGACCCAAAUACUUAAAUGGCAUCCCCUCCAUCCUACAUAUUAGAUUGCUAGCAGUUGAAGAAAUAACAACAUCAUCAAUUCUAGUUCUAGUGAUUGAACUCUUGUGGAAAUUAACCUUCAGCCUAGAAAUCAACUCAAAACAUCACAUAGUUCUUUUUGAUGUUUGAAGAGAUGGAAAAUCAUAUGAACUGAAGAUGAGAGUAUCAUCUACAAACUGAAAGUGAGUAGUUUUCAGUUGAUCAUGACCAAAACAAAUACCUUUUAUAAGUCCCAAAUCACAUCUCUUUCUAGCAUUCUACGAAGACCCUCAGUCGCUAUAUUGAAAAGAGAUGUUGAUAAAGAGUCCCCUCUUCGCAAUCCCUUUUUCCAUAAAGAACUCUACAAGAAUUGAAAGAGACGAGAGAAAUGAGAUCGAAAUUAGACUGCAAUCUAAUUGAUUAACAAACUUUGCUAACCGAAUGUACUCCAACUAACAAACAUAAUAUUAACAACUAAACAACAGGUUGCGUGGUCCUGACGUCUCUACUUCCCGCUCUUUUUUGCCUCCCUAAGGUAGUCUUCUUCUUGUUGCAACUUCUCUGACUAUUCUGUCAUCCAGGUACGUAACAAUACCCUUCCUCAGAAAGAUUCACCUUAGUGAUAAUGCAUAAUGCUGUUAUCUAGCUAGUUGUUCCACUUCUUGGGACAAUGCAUAAUGAUGCACCUUAAGUAAGUCUCCAGGCAAUGAUUCACUCUCUCGGUCUGGCCAUCCGUUUGAGGAUGAUAGGAGGUGCUUAGUAACAACUUUACGCCCAGAUGUCUAAACAAUUCUCUCCAGAACAAGCUUGACAUAUUGUUCUGCUGCAUCUUUGGUACAGAACCUUGCAUAUUCAUUGAUUGCAACUGGGGAUUCAGUUGAUUUUCAUGGGACUGCAAUUGAGGAACUUGAGAUUGGGGUUGCUGCAUAGGUUGAAUAUGAGGUUGGGGAAGUUGUCCUUGCUGUAGAUUAGGAAUAGGCUUCCUGUAUCUGCUUGAGUUUAGAAAACCUACAAUCUGCUUCAGGGAAAAAAUGUAUGGAAAUACAGGGAAAAAAUUGAAAGGGAGAGAUUUGCAAAAGAAAAAAAUGUCGUGUCAGUACCAAGAAAAUAACCCUCUUGACCUAGAAAUCUGAAUAUUUACCUUUAAUCAUCUUAUCAGUAAUUUAUCGUUUCUUAGUUGCUGUAAUCAUGGAACUUACAAUGCUUCCUAACUAAUCACAACCAUAGCUGAAUAAAAUUCCCUUGUACCAAAUUCCAGGAGACCUUUUCCAUUGACAUCUUGCAAGACAAUGACAUACAUGAACAGUAAGCUAAAGAAAUUACCUUUUGAUAGAUCUCCUCUUGCCAAUCAGCACCAUUUGCAUGUCCAGUCUCUGCUGUAGAAUGUAGGGAUGCUACAAAAAUUUUGAUACAGCCAACAAAAGAUUAGAAUGCAUGUAUGUUUUGAAUGUUUUCUGCACACAAGGGUAUUUCUGUAAUUUUCACACUUGCUGAAAAUUAUGGAAUAUUGUAGGUCUUGGUUUUAUUUCUAUUUAGUAUUUUAUUGUUCCUAAAGAAUAAGGAGCUUUAAUAGGUUUUCCCUAUCCUAGAUAGAACCAUUAGUGUUUUCUUACAUAGGAAUACAAGUCCUUUUUGGACUUGGAGUACUAGGGACACUAUCUCAACGUUAUGUAAUCAUUCAAACAGACAGAGAGACCCCCCUCCAACAAGUGAUCAUUAUAUAUUAAAAAAAAAAGGCUCAAACAAUUUAUCAUGGAAGAAAAGCACAAAAGUGACACUUUACCUCCUAACCAGGAAAAUCUUUAAAAUAAACCAUCUCUAAUUUCAAACUCAAACAAAUCGAGAAAAAGACGUAGUAUACUUCCUUAGGUAUGAGGACAAAGCUAUGAUAAUAUUUAAAUAUUAUUUAGUCAUUGCAUUGCAUUGAUAAUAUAAAUAUUUUUUUCUUUCUUUUCUAGAAACAGACAACCUAAAGAUCAAUAAAUCCGAGAAACGAACGACGAACCAACAAACUGACGUUACAACUAUCGACUAGUGGCUCAACGUCGCAUCACUUUAGCUUUACCUUUCGAUCAUUUUUCUCUUAUAUGUUAUUUAAUUUAAUUGUAUAUAUUUAUAUACUUAUUCACUAUGAGCUUGAUUGAUUAGAUAACAAAAGAAAUUAGCAAAAUGUCCUAAAACAAUCUUUUAUCCCGAGGAUCCAUCAAAUUAUUUUAUAUCUAUUUAUUUUACUAUACUGUGUUAUUAUGCGAGUUGAAUUAAAAAAGAAUUGAGUAAAAAAGAAAUAUUCAGAUUUUUAGUAUUUAUUAAAUCCGAUUCAACAAAUCAAUAUUAAAAAAUUUCUGAUCUAAUUUCUUAUCUUGGUUGAGUUUUAAAUUUAACUAUAUGGAUGUUGUUUUAAUAUGAUUUAGUCAAAUUAACAAGUCUGAAAACAACCCAAAUAAUAAAUAGAAACAUGGUCUAACUUAAAUUUUUUGUUAAAUAUAUAUGUUUUUAUUGAAACGACGACAUAUUAGAUUGAUCAUGGCUUCGUGGCUUAACUUGCUGAACUCGUUAUCCUGGUUAUGAACUCCAUUAAAUUUAAUAAAUCUAUUUAUGCUUACUUUCUAUAAAAUUAUUGUAAUUUCAAACAAACAUCCUGGUACUUAGUUCAUAUUUGAUUUUACAAAAAUCUAUUUCAAAAUUAAAUUUUCCAUUGAGUUUUUGCUAAUCAAUAAGGUUUAAGUUUCUAAUAUUAUAUUUCUAGGUCAGAACCAAUUUUUUUAUUAAAAAAGAAUGGCAUUGUUUUGUUUAAAAAAUUUAUCUAAGUUAACCCAAUAACUCACAAAUUGACCAACAGUUCAACAAAAUAGAUUUUUAACAUGAUCAAAACCAGAACCAGGUUGGACGACCACGCCAUAAGUUGCAUCUUAUUUUUGUCUUUGCAUUACAAUAAUACUUACAAACAAGAAAUAAACUAAUUUGACAAGUCUUGCGAUUCACAUGUAUUAAAACCCACAUUACACACGGAAUAGACAGCACAAUAUAACCCUGACCAUGCUCGACCUUGAGGUAUGUUAUAAAUUGUUCUUCCUAACUAGAUGCACAGCUACGCCUUUGGGAGGGAGGGAGGGAGAGAGAGAGCUCGGGCGGGGAGAGGUGAGGAAUGUUGGACCAAAGUGAAAUACAUGACUUUAUUCUUUUCCAGAUUCCUUCUAAAAAUAUUAACGAGUGAACGCUCGCUCGCUCGCACGCAUAUCAUAAUUUUAAAACUCGGAUCGAACCAGCUGGUCAACCCGGGACCCGGCUGACCCGGGCAUGGAACCGGUCCGGGUGAAGGCCAAAACUCGCUUGGAAAUUGGCCCGGCCAGACCCGGGCCCAAACCCGUUGACUUUUAUUUUUUUUUGUUUUUUUUUUGCUAAAACGACGUCGUUUUGAUUUUUUUUAAAAAAAUAAAAAAUAAAUUUUGACCCGGCCGACCUGGCAACCCGGUCGAGACCCGGUGACCCGGUCAAAACCCGGAACCCGGGCCUUGGACCGGGCCGACCACCGGGCCGGGUCUUAAAACUAUGACGCAUAUGCGUUAAAUUCUAUUUAACUAGUAUCUGUAUUUUUGUUAAACAAACAGAUUAAUCCCUCAAGUUGAUUUAAAUAAUUAACUGAUCCUUUAAUCACAUUUUACCGUCAAGUUAAUUAGCGGCACAAACUAAGGAAAUAUUGCUGACAGCUCAACAUUUUACUAACGAAAAGUUAAUGAAGGGACCGAAUUGUAGACAUUUAAAAGUAUAGGGAUUAGUUAGAACAACUAGUUAUCACUGCCUCUGAGAAUUAAUAUACAGCUCAGCAUUUUGUUGAAGGGACGGGCAAAGGUACAUUUAUUUCCGUUAACUUUCUAAUAUUAGAUCUUGCUUCUGUACAAUUUAUUUUAAUAUAUUAAAUAAUAUAAAGCACAAAACAGAUCAUAAUAAAAUACAAGUUGUGAUAUAUUUAUUGCACAUGACAGUCUAUAAAUGAAGUGUUUGGAUCGAGGUAUAACAUGUGUUUUUUUAAUUUUUAAUUUUUAUUUUACUUAAAAUUAAUAUUUUUUAUGUUUUUAAAUCAUUUUAAUGCACUGAUAUUAAAAAUAAUUUUUUUAAAAAAUAAUUAUUUUAAUACAUUUCUGAGUAAAAAACAAUAAUUACAAUUAUAUGUACUAUCAACCACUCUCAAAAUAUUUGAUAUACACUUUGAACAUGACAAGGAUUGAUCAUUGUCUUGUCCAAAGUUUCAAAUUAAAGUUUUAUGGUCAAAUUACAAUUUUUAAAAAUUAAUUUAGUCAGAUCAUGGGUUUAAUUACAUAAUUACAAUUAAAGUAUAGGGAUUAGUUAGAACAACUAGUUAUCACUGCCUCUGAGAAUUAAUAUACAGCUCAGCAUUUUGUUGAAGGGACGGGCAAAGGUACAUUUAUUUCCGUUAACUUUCUAAUAUUAGAUCUUGCUUCUGUACAAUUUGUUUUAAUAUAUUAAAUAAUAUAAAGCACAAAACAGAUCAUAAUAAAAUACAAGUUGUGAUAUAUUUAUUGCACAUGACAAUCUAUAAAUAAAGUGUUUGGAUUGAGGUAUAAACCGUGUUUUUUUAAUUUUUAUUUUUUAUAUUUUACUUAAAACUAAAAAUUUUUAUGUUUUUAAAUUAUUUUGAUGUGCUGAUAUUAAAAAAAAAAAUUUAAAAAUAAUUAUUUUAAUAUAUUUCUGGAGAGAAAGAUUAUAGAGGACGAACAGAAGGAAUAGAAAAACAGAAACGAGACCCACAAAAACAAAACACAGAAAUAAAAUAAAAUAAAAUAAAAAAACACAAAGGGAUGAAGGGAAAGAUGGAGAGGAGGAGAACACAGGGGCUUCGUCAUUUCGAAAACCAGAGACGAAGAAGAAGAAAAAGAGUGCAGACAAGAAUUUGUACUGAAAAGGAGAAUCAGAAACGAAAACAGCAGCAGAGGGAAAGAAAGAAACGUCGCCUGAUCAGAGCACUGAUCACCCUCAUCUUCGUCUUCAUCUUUAGACACCAGCUCCAGGUACUCUCUUCUUCCUUUUCCCCCGCUUUGCAAAUUCAGCUGUUAGAAAGGCAAAUAAUUACCCUGUCAUUGUCUAAAGCAUGCGUAAGUAAUUCACGCACGCAUGCACAAUGACCAGCCGGAUCACUAGUUUGACCUAGUGACGGGCUAGGCUGAUGGGUCUAGCCCAGCCCAUACGGGUUGAGUUAGACCUAGCUUAAAAAAAGUAUAAUUUUUUUUAAAAAAAAAUUUAUGAUUCAUAUAUAUAUAUAUAUAUAUAUAUAUAUAUAUAUAUAUAUAUAUAUAUAUAUAUAUUACACAAUAUUGAUUUGUGUUUUUAUACUAUAAAGAUACGUAUCCGGUAUAAAAAUAUCCGAUUUUUAUCAAGACAUUAAGAAAUAAAAAUAAAAUAAAUAUUUUAUUUUCAUGGAUACAGCAGUUUCUCAAAAAUAAAAAUAAAAAAUUUGUAUCUUCAUACAACAAAGAAAAAAUUCAAAAAAUAUUUAACAUGUACUUUGGCUUUAAUAACCAGUUUAUUAAAGUAACGAGAACUAGGCCACUAUUUCAAAAAUUUUAAAUAAAUUAUUUUUUUUCUUUUAAUAUCUGGGUGCGACCUUAUACGUAACUCGUAUUCCAGAUAUUAAAUUCUUUUGUUGACAUUAAAACAGUUAAGUUUUACGCGAUAAGAUAAGGAUCUCUUUACCGAAGAGAACUUUUGUUCAACCGUAGACAGAUCAACAACUAGAAAACACAACAAGAUCUUAGAUUUUAUCAUACAAUAAAACAAUGCAGCUUACCUUAGGUAGGGUGUAUUUGGGGUCCUAAUAUCUUCCUUUUACGCAACCAGUCCUCGUACCCGAUCUUUGAAACCAGUUAGGGUUCCUAGUGACCAAAACACUUGGUGGCGACUCCCAUUCCAGCUUUCCACACAUAAGAGACAAGAAUUCCUUGUCUCCACAUAUUUUCUCAUUUGUAGAUAGGAUCGAUAGAACAUCAAAUAAGAUUUUGAGGGUGGAUGUAUUCGUCGCGACGUCGCACAUGUGCGACAAGGGUUAACCUUUAAAAUCCAUGACUCGGGUCAUCAGACCAUAAUAAACCCAAAUAAAAUAAUUCAAAACAAAUUAUGAAUCUUAAUUUUCAAUAAACCUAUUGUUGAAUUAUGAAAUUAAAAAAAAGAUGAUCUAAAAAAAGCAUAAAAAAUGUCUUUUCAAAACAAAAUUAUGAAUUUGAAUAAAAUUAUAAAAAUAUCAUUGACAAUCUCGCAAAGUCUUUCUAAACUUUGAUUGCCUUGAAUAUAUGUUAGGAGAUUUCUUGUUAAAUUUCAAUCUAAUUUAACAAUCAGAUUUAAAAAAAUAUGAUUGUUACAGUAAAAUUAGACUAUUUUUUUUAUAAAAAAAAUAAAAUAUUAUUUAACUAUAACAAAAUGCCUGGAAUAGACCGAAACAUUCCAGCCAGAAUUUAGGUGAAAUUCAUGGAACGAGAUAAGUUUCUAACCGAGGUGAAAUAUCUUCAAAUUUAUUCCAUUUUUUAAAUUGAAAUAAAAUAUACCUAUCAUUCUAGAUGUGACAUAGUGAAAUUAAAAACCAGUACGGCUCUAUUUCGUGGGAAAAAUUGCAUGAUAACAAUGGUAUCACUGACCCAUCUCGUGGUGGAUAAUUUAUUGCAAUGUUCUCUCCAUCAAAAUCCCUUUUGUUUUGAAAAGGAUUAUAUAUAUAUAUAUAUAUAUAUAUAUAUAUAUAUAUAUAUAUAUAUAUAUAGAUGCACACACUCAAUGAUUACUUAAUAUCUUUAUAUUAGUUUUCAAGUUUUGAGAUAUAGCUCUUAAAAACAAGAAAUAUACCACAAGAUUUUAUAAAAUUCAAAAUAUUAAUUUAACAAACAUAAUUUCAAUUUAAAUUUAAACAUAAACUAACUUGAAAUUAUGCACUUUAAAUUUUAAAUAUAAGUAAAAAAAUAAGAGCUGAAUCGAUAUGAGUCGAUCAAUUCAAUAAGCUCAAAGAUAGUCUAGAUGACUAAUAAAAAUAUAGUUUUACUUAAAAAAGUUCAAGAUGACAUAUUUUUUAAAAAACAAUAUUGAGAUAAUAACAUAUUGGAUCGAUUUUGGUCAAUAUGGGUUAACAUUUAAAAUCCAUGACUCGGGUCAUGAGACUAUAAUAACCCAAAAUAAAAUAAAUCAAAAUAAAUUAUGAAUCUUAAUUUUCAAUAAAUCUAUUGUUGAAUUAUGAAAUUGAAAAAAAAAAUUAUCUAAAAAAAAACAUAAAAAAUGUCUUUUCGAAACAAAAUUAUGAAUUUGAAUAAAAUUAUAAAAAUAUCAUUGACAAUCUUGCAAAGUCUUUCUAAACUUUGAUUGCCUUAAAUAUAUGUUAGGAGAUUUCUUGUAAAAUUUCAAUCUAAUUUAACAAUCAGAUUAAAAAAAUAUGAUUGAUACAGUAAAAUUAAACUAUUUUUUUUUAUAAAAAAAUAAAAUAUUAUUUAACUAUAACAAAAUGCCUAGAAUAGACCGAAACAUUCCAGCCAGAAUUUAGGUGAAAUUCAUGGAACGAGAUAAGUUUCUAACCGAGAUGAAAUAUCUUCAAAUUUAUUCCAUUUUUUUCAAUUGAAAUAAAAUAUACCUAUCAUUCUACAUUAUUUGUUCAUAAUAGAAUGGCUGGAAUAUAACCAAAAUAUUCCAGCCAGAAUUUAGGUGAAAUUCAUGGAAUUAGAUAAGAUUCUAAACGAGAUCAAAUAUCUUAUAAUUUCUUACAUUGUUUAAAUUGAGAUAAAAUACACCUGUCAUUCUAGAUGUGACAUAAUAAAAUUAAAAUACAUAGCUUUUAAAGCUUGUACGACCCCAUCUCGUGGGAAAAAAUAAAGAUGACAAUGGUCUCACAAACCCAUCUCUUGCUUGGUGGAUAAUUUGUUGCAAUGUCCUCUCCAUCAAAAUCCUUUUUUUUUUGAAAAGGAUUAUAUAUACACACACACACUCAAUGAUCACUUAAUAUCUUUAUAUUAAUUUUUCAAGUUUUGAGAUAUAAGUUCAUAGCUCUUAAAAGACAAUAAAUAUACCACAAGAUUUAAAACUAUUUUAUAUUUCAUUAAAAUAAAUAAAUAAAUUACUUAUAUGGUUACAAUAUUUUUUUCUUAAGAAAAUAUAUUUAUUUCAUGUGUUAAUAACAUUUAAGGAUAUUUUCCAAUCAAAUAAUCAAAUUUAUUUUAAUUAAAAAGAUUUCAAUCAAUAACAACAUUCCCAAUUAAACCAAUUUUUUUCCACGAACCCAACUUGUGGAAAAAAUGCAUUAUGGUUGGAAGAGGAAAAAUGCAUGACGGCAAAGUAGGAUUGCCUAUCCUAGAAAAAAAUGCUUGAUAGCAAGAGAAAAAACGCUUGAUAUAUAGCAAUGGUCUUAUGGACCAUCCCACUAACCUAUAUCUUGCAUCUCACACUGCAAAUUCCUAUCCAUCUUACUUGUUAAUUGUGUUAAAAAAAAGAUUGAUAAGUACUUUAGAAAGAAAAAAAGAGGACUUAUUGUCAUGAUAAUGACAAGAAGUAUUUUAGAAAUGAUAUUAUUUGUUGUUCAUUUUAUCAACGAUACUGUUUGAUUUUGCAAUCACCAUAAAAAUUAAGACAUGAUUUUUCACAUGUUAUUUCCAAAAAAAAAAUAGCAAGUCUUCUAUAUCCGUCAUCAUCAUACAAAUUGAGCUGCCUAGCAUUAACCUUUGGUUCAUAAUUUUCAUAAAAAAAAGCUGACAUGGGUUCAACUUUAUAAGAAGGAAUACAAGUUUUUAGUUAAUUACUUUUAUGCAAUUUAUUUUGUUUGUUUUUUUACAAUGUGGUUUUAAUCAGCGUUAUUAAAUUUAAUUCAAGUCUAACAUUUUAAUCUGGAACCUAACUCAAUUCAGGUUUAGAAAAAACUGAGUGAGAGUUGACCCAAUCAAGCCUAAUCGACAAGAUAAAUCAAUCCAGAAUCUAUUCAACUCAGUUAAAAACUAGUUUUACUUUUUUUAACUAUGUAGUUUUGAUUUUUUCUAAAACAAAUCUUAAAAUGAUACAAUUUUAGAGUAACACCAGUCAACAUAAGCUAACUUAUCCGAUCUAUGACCCAAAUUUUAAUCUGAGUAUUAGGCCAAUUUAUAACCUAAACUCUCAUCUGGGUAUUAAAUAUAAUCAUGUUUAAUAAUUUUGGUUGUAAUUAAUGAACAAGACAUUCUUAAAAAAAAUGUCAUAUAUAAAACAUUUAUUUGCAUCUAAAUUGAAACAUUCACAAAUUGAUAUAAUAGUUAUUAAUAUUUAUUUUUAAUAUAUAUAAAAUAAAAGAUUUUAAUAAUUGAUUAAUAUUGUUAAACAUGUAUUUUUUUAUGGUUUUUUUUUAAAAUUUCAUCUUUUAAUAUUGAAUUUGCUUAUCUAGAUCUUAUUAUCUAGGUCGACGAACUGAGGAUAGCAUUGCAUCACCACCAUGGCAAACUCGAUAUUACCGAGGAGUGCAGCAAUGUGCAAAGGAAUGUUUCAUGUGCUAAGGAUAUAGAGCCAAGUAAUUGUUUCUUCUUUGAGACUAAGACUAAGAGUCAUGUUGCAAAUGCAUGAUGGUUGGAAGAGGACGUCUCAUGGCCUCUCCUCGAGGAAAAAUGCAUGAUGGCAACGGUCUGAGGAACCAAUAUGCAGAUGGAAAUGUUCUCAUGAACUCAUCUCGUAGAAAAAACGCAUCCGAGUAUAUAAAUAGAAUUUUUUUUCUUUUUUUCCGAUAAACAUGACUUUCUUAAGCUUGUUGUAGUAUAUAGAAUUUUUUUAAAAUAAAAAAAUAGAAAUAUAAUUCGUAUCCGAGUAAAUACCUCCACAAAUAUAAUUUCAUUGAAAGCUGCGUCAUGUAUUAAUCUAAGGUUCAUUGUCCAUUAAUUAAUCGGUGGUUGCAUUUUAACACUUGAGAUUUAUUUUUCAUGCAUAAACAUUUAAUUUUUUUUCGCAAACUAAAUUGAAAUUAAAGCAUAUUAAUUAUCAAUUCCCAAGCUUACAGGGCAAUGGUCUCAUGGACCCAUCUUGUAGAAAAAACGCUUGAUAGCAAUGGUUUCAUGGACCAUCCCACCGGCCUAUAUCGUGGAAAAAAUAUAGAUGGCAAUACAUAGUCUCAAAGACAGACCCAUUUCGCAUUGCAAAUUCCUAUCCAUCUUGCUUGUUGAUAGUGUUACAUAAAAAUAAACUGACAAGUACUUUAAAAAGAAAAAGAAGAAGACUUGUUGUCAUGACAAUGACAAGAAGUAUUUUAAAAAUAAUAUCAUUUGUGGUUCAUUUUAUCAACGAUACUCUUUGAUUUUGUCACCAUCAUCAAAAUUAAGGUAUGAUUUUUGCAGAUUUUAGGUAAAAAUGAUGAUUUUAAGUUAUGGUUUGUUUAAAUAAUGAAUUUGAGUUAGAAAUCUUUAUAUAUUAAUAGGUGAUCUGAGUGUAAUUUAAUUAAAGUACAUAAAUUUAAUAUUGAAAUUUAAUUAAAGCCUCUCUUACAAUCCAAAAUUUAUUUUUAAUUAAAGUGCAUAAAAUUAACAUAGUUAAAGUUAUCUCUCUCUUUCUCUGUGUAUGUUAGACGGAGUUUGCAUUAGAUAAUUAAUUUUUUUUCAAGGUCUAAAUUUUAUACAUGUAAUUUCUAUAAAGAAAAUAGCAAGUCUUCUAUAUCCAUCGUCGUCCUAUGCCUAGCAUUAACUUUUAUUCAUGUUUUUUCAAAAAAUAAAAAUAAAAAUAAACUUGACUUGGGGUCAACGUUUUAAGAAGGAAUAUAAAUUUCGGUUAGUUACUUAAUUUUAUGCAAUUCAUUUUUUUUCUGUACUCUAUGGUUUUGAUGAACAGUUUCUUAAGCUAGUUGUCAUAUAUAGAAAUUUCUUAUAACAUUUUAGAAAUAUAAUUCACAUCUGAAUUGAUAAAUUCAAAAAUUAAUAUAAUAAGUUUUAAUAUUUAUUUUUAAUAUAUAUUUCGAAUUUAAUAUUAAUAUUUAUAAACUUUAUUUAGUUCAUAAAAAUUGUUCCACUUUUGUUAUAUCACUUUCCUUUUAAAGGGGUUAGGUGCAGCCUUGCAAAUUAUUUUAAAGUUUAUUUAUUUUGAAUUUAAUAUAUAAUUUUUUUAAAAGAUAAAUUUUAUUUAAAAAAAAAAUAUUUUCAAUAUAUGAAGGCUGGCAUAUUAUUUUUUUAUUUUAUUCAAAUAAUUUAUAAUAUAUGUGUCUAUUUUUAUUAUCGUUUGAUCGAAUUAAAAAAUAUUUUAAUUAGAAAAUUUACAAAACACAAUUGCAUUAAUAUUACGUCUUAUGAAAUUAAAUAUUUUGAUCUAUAUUUAUCAAUUGAUUUUUCUAGUUUUUAUUUUGAGUCAUCAUUUAUGGUUUUUUUCACUUAUUAACACACAUAAUUUUUGAUUUAUUUAACUAUAUUUGUGUAUAAGUUUUUUAAUUUUCACUUAAAAUUUAUAAAUAAAAAAUUUAUUGAAGAAAUCUAUAUAUACAAAUUUUAAAUUAAAACAAUUUAACUUGAAGCUGUAGUCAAAUAACUAAGUCUAUGUACUAAAAUGAGUGGCACUCAAAGGUUCACAUACCUUAUCUUCCAAGAAAGAAGAGACAAGAAAAGUAGUGGGUGAUGUUAUUUUCUCCAGCUGUAAAUAAAUAAAGAGAUUAAUACCAAAAACAUGGACAAAAAUUGAUGUGGACCCGCACCACUUUGAUUAUUCUUCACUUUUUUCGCUUUUCCUGUGUUUCACUACUUGAUGAUUCAAAAGUUAUCUAUUUAAAACAAUUUAAUUUUUUUAAAAUAUUUUUAAAAUACAAAAAUAAAUGGUUAUUAUUAUGUCAUGUAGCUAAAUUUAUUCUAACGUUAUUCAUACGAGAAUUAUAUAUUCAAUUUGUUAAGUGUUAGCAAUGCAAAAGAGACAAUAAGAAGUACAAAUUAUAUGUAUUUUAUAACUUUUUUUUAUUUAAAAGCUUGUAUCAAUGUUUUUUUUUUCAAUUUGAAUACUUAUAUUCACGGAAUUUAAUCAAUAAAAUAUCUUCAUUAGUUUUACUAUCAAAAUGAUGAUGUCAUAGUUAACUCUUUUUAGAUUAGCCUGGAUUGAUUUCAUUUUAUUUUUAAUUUAUGAACAAUAAAGAUAUAUAAAAUGCUUAUAAUUUAUAUUUUUUUUAUUCAAGUACUCUAAUUGAUUUUAUUUUUCUAUUUAAGUACGUGAUAAACUAAUGUUUGUCCAUAAAUUUGUUUACGUUGAUUUCUCUAAUAAAAGUAUAUAGAACAAAUUCAAUAAAACUAUAUUUUGAUUAAUAGAUUUGAACUUAAGUGUUGUUAUCCAUUUUUGGGACCCCACACAAAAAAGAGAAAAUACAAAAAGUAAGAGUUGAAGAAAAAUUAAUUAAAUAAUAAUAAUAAUAAUAAUAAAUAAAUAAAUAAUAUAUGUUGUAGUGAGAAAAGAUGUCGGACCGCCCAAAAUGGUCAAAAAUUUAUUGAGGUUAAAAAAUGCAAAAAUUGAAAUUUAACAGUAUAUCGUUGACUAAUGAGAGCCCUGUUGACAAAGAAAAUUCAUUUUUUAAAAAAUAUAUUCAAAAUCAGAUGUUUAUGGACUCAAUUAAAUUUUAUUGAGGGUUUAAUUGAAUUUAUGGAGGGUUUGAUUGAAAGAAAAUUGAGUUUUAUGUCGAUUUAGGCUUUUAUUGGAAGAAAUUAAAGUUCUAGGCUCCAAUUACAAUUUUGAAGAGUUGACUUGGUCAAAUUAGGAGCUUAUUGCAUAAUUAUUAAAGUUUUAUGAACAAUUAGAGACUUGAAUGCAAAGAUUGUCUUGUAAAUGGGGUUCAAAUCUAGGGAUCCAAUUAAAAUUUAUUCGGGGGCUUGAUUAUAAAAUUGCAAAACAUCCAAUGACCAAAUCAGAAAUAUUUAUUUUGAAUUUUAAAACGGUACCGUUUCCUUGACAAUUGUUCAUUACCUUCUUCAUUAACAACGGUUUCUACAGUAAAAGGCAGUGAAGACGUUAACGGUGCUGCUGCUUCAAUCAGGGGAGCACGUCUCACGGUUGAUAUCCCUCUCCACCAUGAUGCACUCCGCCCGUUACAAUCUUCCUGCAAUAAAUCCUGAAAAGCAUGCAUCCUCUGGCUAUAAAAAGCCAGAGGAGAGAUGGACAGGAAAAGAAAAAAAAAAGAAAAAAAGGAGACUGGGAAGCAGCACGAGAGGGAGAAAGAAACGAGCAAAAGGAAAGAAUGUAAGCAGAGGAAAUCGUUGAGACCAGAACCAGCGUUGCCAUCAUCUUUGUCAUUUCAAAAAUCAGAGAGGAAGAAGAAGAAGAGUGCAAAUAAGAAUUUAACGAAAAGGAGAAUAAAAAACGAGAACAGUAGUAGAAGGAAAGAAAGAAACGUUGCUCGAUCAGAGCACUGAUCGCCCUCAACUUCAUCUUCAUCGUCAGGCAGCAACUCCAGGGGACGUUUGAGAGGACCAGAGAGGGAGAGAAAGAAUAAAACAGGGAACAAGAGGAAGAACAGAGCAGAAGAGAAAAAAAGCAGAAGGGAAAUGCAGAGAAAGAAAGAAGAACCACCAGCCCGUCAGCGCCACGGUACUCAACCGCAACACCGUCCACCAACAGCACCGCUAGGCUGCAGGUCUGCUUCUUCCUCUUCCUCCUCCUCUUCUUCGCCUUCACCAGGUCUGCACCACUGUUCUUUGUUUUAGUUUUUUGGGCUAGACAGUGCCGGCCCAGCCCAAAAUGAAUGGGUCGGGUCCGGCCUAGUCAAAAACAUUUCUUUAAAAAAAAUCAUUUUAAAAAAUUUAGAUUUUCCCUCGUAUUUUUCUAUUAAAUUUUUCUUAGUAUUGGUUUGUAUUUUUAUACCGUAAAGAUACAAAUCUGGAAUUAAAAUACUCAGUUGUCAUCAAAACAUUGAAAAAUUAAAAAAAAAACAUAUUUUUAUUUUCAUGCAUACGGCUAAGUAUCUCAAAGAAAAAAAAUCAUAUCAUAUUUUCAUACAACAAAAAUUCAAAAAUAUAUAUUAACAUGCAUUUUAAUUUUAAUAACCAAUUUAUUAAAGUCUCGAGAACUAAGUCAAUAUUUUAAAAAUUCUGAUUUUUUUUUUUAGUAUCUAGGGUUACGACCUUAUAUUUAAGAUGUAUUCCGGAUGUUAAAUUCUUUUAUUGAUAUUAGAAUGAUUAGGUUUUACCCGAUAAUAUAAGAAUCUCUUUAUCGAGAAGGAUAUUAAAUUUUGACCAAUCAUUACUAAAUUGCUACUGGUAUAACUAUCUCUUGCAAAUGGCAGCGAGGAGUUUAGGCUUCAAUCAAGCAAGGUUGUCAAUUCCAUUUUAAUUGGUUUUUUAUUUUUUUAAUUGUAACAAUAUAUUUUGGUUUUUGAGUAUUUUGACGUGUCAUUUUGGAUUGUUCUAUAUAUACUUUGAAGUCAUCAAAUCGAUUGGGUCAUAUUGAUUUAACUCUUUAUUUUUACUUAUAUUUGAAAUUUAAAUUGUAUAAUUUAAAGUUAGUUUAUUUUUAAAUGUCAAUUAAAAUUAUGUUUGUUAAAAAUAUUGAGAUAACAAUAUAUUGUAUUGACCUAGGUUAAUCUUUUAAAUUCGUGACCCAGAUCAUGAGACUAUAAUAAGCUCAAAUAUAAAAAAAAUUAUGAAUCUCAUUUUUAAAUAAAUCUAUUGUUGAAUUAUGAAAUUGAAAAAAAAAUCAAUCUAAAAAAAGACAAAAAAUCACCUUAUGAAACAAAAUUAUGAAUUUAAAUAAAAUUAUGAAAAUUUCAUCGGCAAUCUCACAAAGUCUUUCUAAACUCUAAUUGUUCUAAAAUUUUAACUUGCGAUAUAAAUAUAUGUUAUGAGAUUCCUCAUAAUAUUUUAGUCUAAUCCAAUAGUUGAAUUGAGAUAUAUAAUUAAUACUAUAAAACUAGACUAUAUUUUUUUUUUAUAAAAGCAAAACAAAACAUUAUUUGAUCAUAAUAGAAUGGCUGGAAUAAAACAAAAAUAUUCCGGCCAGGAUUUAGGUGAAGUUCAUUAAAUUAGAUAAGAUUCUAAACGAGAUGAAAUAUCUUCCAAUUUAUUCAAUUGUUUAAAUUGAAAUAAAAUAUACCUUCCAUUCUAGAUGUGACAUAAUGAAAUUAAAAACCAUAGCUUUUUAGAGCCCCAAGCGUACGGCCCCAUCUCGUGGGAAAAAUUGCAUGAUGACAAUGGUAUCACUGACCUAUCUCGUGGUGGAUAAUUUGUUGCAAUGUCCUGAUCUUCAUCAAAAUCCUUUUUGUUUUGAAAAGGAUUACACACACACACACACACACACAAAGAUCACUUAAUAUCUUUAUAUUAGUUUUCAAGUUUUGAGAUAUAAGUUCAUAACUCUUAAAGACAAGAAAUAUACCACAAGAUUUAAAACUAUUUCAUAUUUCAUUGAAAUAAAUAAAUAAAUUACUUAUGUGGUUACAAUAUUUUUUCUUAAGAAAAAAAUAUUGAUUUCUUGAGUUAAUAACAUUUUAGGAUUUCUUCAAUCAAAUAAUCAAAUUUAUUUUUAAUAAACCUAUUGUUGAAUUAUGAAAUUGAAAAAAAAAAUCAAUCUAAAAGAAAACACAAAAAAUGACCUUACGAAACAAAAUUAUGAAUUUAAAUAAAAUUAUAAAAAUUUCAUCGGCAAUCUCACAAAGUCUUUCUAAACUCUAAUUGUUCUAAAAUUUUAACUUGCGAUAUAAAUAUAUUUUAGGAGAUUUCUCAUAAAAUUUUAGUCUAACCAACAGUUGAAUUGAGAGAUAUAAUAAUACCGUAAAACUAGACUAUAUAUAUAUAUAUAUAAGCAAAACAAAACAUUAUUUGAUCAUAAUUGAAUGGCUGGAAUAGAACCAAAAUAUUCCGACCAGGAUUUAGGUGAAAUUCAUGAAAUGAGAUAAGAUUAUAAACGAGAUGAAAUAUCUUCUAAUUUAUUCAAUUGUUUAAAUUGAAAUAAAAUAUACCUGCCAUUCUAGAUGUGACAUAAUAAAAUUAAAAACCAUAGCUUUUUAGAGCCCUAAGCGUACGGCCCCAUCUCGUGGGAAAAAUUGCAUGAUGACAAUCGUAUCACUGACCCAUCUCGUGGUGGAUAAUUUGUUGCAAUGUCUUGAUCUUCAUCAAAAUCCUUUAUGUUUUGAAAAGGAUCACACACACACACACUUAAUGAUCACUUAAUAUCUUUAUAUUAGUUUUCAUGUUUUGAGAUAUAAGUUCAUAGCUCUUAAUAUCUUUAAUCCUUAGUGGUUGCAUUUUAACACUUGAGAUUAAAUUUUUAUGCAUAAGCAUUUUUUUUGUUUGCAAACUAAAUUGAAAUUAAAGCAUAUUAAUUAUCAACUCCCAAGCUUACAGGGCAAUGGUCUCAUGGACCCAUCUCGUAGAAAAAAUGCUCGAUAGCAAUGGUCUCAUGGACCAUCCCUUCGGCCUAUAUCAUGGAAAAAAUGCAAAUGACAAUACAUAGUCUCACAGAUCCAUUUCGUAAUGCAAAUUCCUAUUCAUCUUACUUGUUGAUUGUGUUACAUAAAAAUAGAUUGAGAAGUACUUUAGAAAGAAAAAGAAGAAGACUUGUUGUCACGACAAUGACAAGAAGUAUUUUAAAAAUAAUAUCAUUUAUGGUUCAUUUUAUCAACGAUACUCUUUGAUUUUGUCAUCACCAUCAAAAUUAAGGCAUGAUUUUUGAAGAUUUUAGGUGAAGAUUAUGAUUUUGAGUUAUGGUUUGUUUAAAUAAUGAAUUUGAGUUAGAAAUCUUGAUAUAUUAGUAGGUGAUCAUUUGUGUGUAUGUUAAUUAAAGUGCAUAAAUUUAAUAUUGAAAUUUAAUUAAAGUCUCUCUUACAAUCCAAAAUUUAUUUUUAAUUAGAGUUCAUAAAAUAAACACAGCUAAAGUUUUCGCUGUCUCUGUGUAUGUUAGACGGAGUUUGCAUUAGAUAAUCAAUAAUAUUAUAUAUAUUUUUUUGGAGAAAGUAACUCAUUAAUUUCCACUUUGUUUUUAGAACACGAAAAAUUUUACUGAGUCUUAUUUAAAUAUGUAUUUGAUAUUAUAGUAGUUUAUAUGAUUGUAAUUUGAAAAAAUAAAUUUAAAAAAGCUAUAAGUUGUAGCUUUUUCUUAACUAAUAUUUCAAGAGAGAGUUUGUGGUAGGACCCAUACAAAGUUAUGAUAUACGUUAAUCAACCAAACACUUUAACAUGUAUGAUUAGAACAAAAUGCAUAAGAUAUCAUACUAUAGAAACUAAUAAAGAAUCAUCUAGAUCUAACAAAAUAAUUUUUUAUAAGUAUUUUAAAAAAUUAAAUCUACUCGAGUGAGAUACCAAGUGGUUUCCAAACCAAUGCAAUUUUAUAACCAUGGUAAAAACCCGAAAAGAAGUGAAAGAAAAUUAAGAAAAAAUUUCAUCAAGCAUUUGAGUUUUUUACUUUGGUUUUAUGUUUUAGAAAAUAACGCUUUUUAGUUAAUGAAAAUUUUUAAUUUGAACAAAAUAAUUAAAAUACCUUCCUAUAUAAUAUGUCAAAAAUUCACAAACAAUAGAUCGCGCGAGUUCUCUUUUCCCUUCUUUCCAUUCCCUCCUCUCUCUUCAUCUUUUUUUUUGUUUCAACCCUAUAUCGAUUCAAUUGAAGCUUAUGAAGAACUCCUAAAUUCUUAGUGAGUUAGUCUAUUCACCCCCCCAUUGUUAGUGAAGUAUCUUUUUUUUGUUUCUUGUAUAUGUCUUCGUCGUGGUACAACAAUUUUAAUAGAAGAAUUACUGACGCCUUUUAUAAGCAUCCAUUUUCCUUCUUGUUGUUUUCUAUUCAUUUUCACACCCCAGUUGCCACCCUGCUUUUCUUUCCAUUCACGCACACAGAUAGUGCAUAAAAGCACUGCGACAAUAGUUGAUUCCCAGUCAAUACGGUCAAGAUAAGGUAACUGGCUGUUGUGUGAUUUUUAUAUGGCUUGUGUGUUUUAGAUGGGUGUGUGGUAGUCACCCAAGAGAAAUUCAAUUUUAGCAUUCUUUUAGAUAAGAUAAUUGGUUGUGUUUAAAAAUCAAAAUGCCACACACCAGAAAAGUCAAUUACUUAAGAUUUGCGGAAGAUAUGAUACAAGAGAUAAGAAAAUGAUGGUGAUAAGUUAUUGUAUAUACUAUAGCCACAAAUUCCACAUGGAUAAGAUUUAUAAUUAUUCUGUGUUUAUUAUUAUUGAUAAUUUAUGUAUUUAAUUAUAUAUGUGAUAGUGAUGACACCAUGCAAGUAGGGUCCUAAAUAAUUCUAAAUUAUGAUGAGAGCAGUACACUUAUUAAAUCAAAAAGAUCUUACGACGGAAUCACACACGAAUAUUGAUAACAAUGUUGAAAUAUUGUAACAAUUUUUUUAUUUUAAUUUUUUAUAAAUUGGAUAAUUAGUAACCAAAAUAUAAUUAAAUGCAAAUAGAAUAAGUGCUAAACAAUAAAAUAAAAUAACAUUCAAAUCCAAGAUUAAUAUUCCAAAAAGAAAUGAAAUAAUAUUCAAAUCUCAAAACAUAGAACCUGCAUAAGAUAUGCAGAUAAAAUCAUGGAAAUGGCCAAAAUUGUAGUAUAAAUUGGAUCUCUAUGGUUGCCCAAAGACACAUAACAAACAACAAUAUUCUACGUAGAUGAUGAUGAAAAGAAUAGGGGCUUGUAUAUUAUUGACUCAACCAAGUGGGAGUUGACUCAAUCAAGCCUAAUCAACUUGAUAAAUUAAUUCACAAUCUAGUUAAUUCAAUAAAAAACUAAUUUUAUUUUAUUUAACUACAUGAUUUUGAUUUUUUCUAAAUAAAACUCUUAAAAUGAUACAAUUUUUUAUUAACAUUAGUCAAUAAGCUAACUUGUUUGAUCUAUAACUCAAAUCUUGAUCCGAGUAUUAAGCCAAUCUAUGACCUAAACCCUUGUAUUAAAUCUAACCAUCUUUAAUAACUUUGGUUUCUUAAGUAAAACAUCAUAUAUAAUUAAACAUCUAAUUGCAUCCAAAUUGAACAUUCACAAAUUGAUAUAAUAGUUAUUAAUAUUUAUUUUUAAUAUAUAUAAAAUGAAAGAUUUUAAUAAUUGAUUAAUAUUGUUAAACCACAUAUGUUUUUAUAGUUUUUUUCUUUAAUUUUAUUUUUUAAUAUUGAGUUUGUUUAUCCUAAUAUCAUGAUCCAGGUAAUAGAUUUGACGAGUUAACUUAAGUCUUUUUUUAAUAUAUAUAUAUAUAUAUAUAUAUAUAUAUAUAUAUAUAUUAUGUUAUUACUUGUCCUGCUAGACAGCCUCUAAUUUUGGCGCUAAUAUCUUUCUAUAAUAAUACUUGACUAUUAUAAAAAAGAAGAAGCAGCAGAAGUAGAAAUAACUUAGCGGAUUGACUAUUAUAGAUAAUGAGUUAUUUAGUUGAUUUUUGAAGAUUUUAGGUAAAAAUAAUAAUUUUGAGUUAAAUGAUGAAUUUGAGUUAGAAAUUUUGAUAUAUCAGUAGGUGAUUUGUAAAAAUCUAGGUUUGAUGUUGAAGAUGAUAAAAUUUCAUUUUGGUCCCUCAAUUCGUGAAAAUUUAAGUUAAUCCCCAAACUUUAGAAAAAUUACAGAUUGGUCCCUGAAGCAUAAUCCUAGAUUCUGUACCAAACUAGAGAUGAUUUAUGAGCAACAUUCCAAUAUAGUUAUGAAUUUAUGAUAUUUUUAUUUUGGUCCUUCAAUUUGAUAAAAUGACAAUUUGACCCUUAAAAAUUUGCUAAAAUUCCAGAUUGAUCCUUGGAGCAUAAUCCGAGAUUCUGGAUAGAAUUAAAGAAGAAUUAUGGGCAAAAUUUCAGUAUAGUUAUGAACAUAACAUUUUCAUUUUGGUCCUUCGUUAAUUUAAUAGCAUUGCAAAGGCUUGAGAAUUCACAUAUCUCCUGAUGGAAUAGGUACUUGCUGCUAAGACAUUGUCUUUUAACUCUAAACAUUAUUUUUCUGGUCUUGGAAUAUGCUUUGCAUAACGGAUCGUUAGUAGAAAAAAGAACAACAUUUACAAUCUAUGAAGAUAAGUAUCGUAUCAUCCUCGGAUUUCAUAAGCUGACUAGCAUUUCUAUCCUGCGUGGCAUGUGUCCGGCGUUGUACCAACAGGAACCGCUCCAUCAAACUGCCGCCCAC
rnacentral:lncRNA from 1 species